UCUGCUGUUAAUUCAUUCGUGCUAUAUGUUUUUGUUAUCUGUCUUGUAUUCUUAUGCUUUCAUGAAAUAAGUUGACAUGCUAGUUUACUGUUGUUACUAAUAAUAUCAUGCCUCUGUCUAGUUUAGUUUCAUGUUAGUAGUAUCAAUGUUAUGAUAAUUCUGUUGCACUAAUAAGUUUGCUAGUACUUGAGAUUGCCAUGUUUCGCAUGCUAUCAUUGUUCUUUUGAAAUGCUUGAUGUUCUGUUAAUGCAUCGGUAUGUUGCAUGUCAGUUGUUGCAUUCAUGUUAAUAAUGCUCGCAUGAUGAUUGAUGAUGGAGAAGUUAAUAAUAUGACUUAAUAACAAACCUCCUUCGUCAUCACUUGGAUAUCAUAGUGCCACCAAAUCGAGCUUUCUCUAGGGCAACCACAUUUACCUCAUGGGGAGGUCCUAGCUGGGUCUAUUGUCAUGCCUAUCGCCGGUGCCUCCCGCAAGGGAAGGUUAUGGGCACGCGCUACCCUGAUCAGGUAGGCGGACAUAACCUUGUGUGCUCGCUUUUGUUUUUAUGGUACCUUGUCCCCGUUUGGGACCGUUUUGCCACGACGGUGGCCGUUGGUGUCUUUGGUAGACACGGGGCCACCCAGGACUGAACCCCAAGGGGGUGUUGGUCGGAGUGGCCGGGAGAGUGUCAUGGCAGUAGCUCAGUUUUGUCAGAACGCCAUGGUCCGCACGUAUGGGAGUGCGAGGCAAGGGUUCUAUGGUGUGGGUAAACUGCGCUACCUCUACAGAGUGUAUUCAAUCUAUCGAUAGCCGCGUCCUCGGUCAUGGGAAAAAGUACGUCGUAGGUCACACUAUCGGAUCUUGGUCGAAAUGGAGGAUAAACCUGCUAAUAACUUGUGUGUUAAUUAAAAUGUGAUAAAUCGUGUGAUGACUUGGACUGUGGGAAAAUCGUGAGAAGCCGCGAUGAUGUGUGGAUAUGACCCCGAGACAAGGUCUUGGAAAGUCACGCGUGUGCUCUGAGGAGCCGUGGCAGAGUAAGUGAUUGUUGCAUAAGGUUAAUACAUCAUGUCUUCACGGAAGGUAAUUGGUAGUUUAUUUCCAGCAUAGUUUCGUGAUGCCAUGCUAUGUUUUGAUAUGUUAUGCUUGUUGUUGUUAUGUUAGAAGUAAAUUUGAUAUGCCAUGCUAGUAGAUGGUGUGCUGUUGUUCAUGCUUAGUUUGAUUUAUGAUUCGAGUUAAUAUCAUGGCAUGCGUAGAAGUUGUGUUGAAGUAGACUAUUGCAUAUGCUUGGUUCUUGCUUCGUCAUCUGUUUGUUUGGAUGCUAUGUAUUUGGUUGUCUUGCAAGUACAUUCAAUGUACUGACCCGGCUUCUCAUCCCAGUUUUGUAGGUCGUGCCCAAAUUGUUCGCUUGUUUCAUCGUGCUAGGCCGUAAUCUUGCCAGUCUUGUGAGUUGUGGAGCCAAUCCUAAGUGAGAUGCUGCCAAACCAAGACUUCUAUUGCUAGUUAAAUAGACUUCCGCUGCCAUUUAAAUAGCCUUAGGUCUAUGCUAGAUAAUUGUAUUCAUCAAUGAUGUAAUCUUAUAUACAUGUAUUUGAUGAAUAUUAUUGUACUUGGAAUGAUGUAUCAUGGACCUGUCGUGCAUCAGGUGUUAUCCUAGGCUGACGUGCGAAGGCCCCCUGCUCCAUGCGGAUCGGGGUGCUGAUAACCCACAAGUAUAGGGGAUCGCAACAGUUUUCGAGGGUGAAGUAUUCAACCCAAAUUUAUUGAUUCGACACAUGGGGAGCAAAAGAAUACUCUCUAGUAUUAGCAGUUGAGUUGUCAAUUCAACCACACCUGGAAACUUAAUAUCUGCAACAAAGUAUUUAGUAGCAAAGUAAUAUGAUAGUAGUGAUAACGGUAACAAAAGGUGACGGUAGUAAAAGCAAUGUUUUUGGUAUUUUGUAGUGAUGAUAGCACUAGCAAAGGGAAAGUAAAUAAGCAAAGAACAACAUGUGGAAAGCUCGUAGGCAAUGGAUCGGUGAUGGAGAAUUAUGCCGGAUGCGGUUCAUCAUGUAACAGUCAUAACCUAGGGUGACACAGAACUAGCUCCAGUUCAUUGAUAUAAUGUAGGUAUGUAUUUCGAAUAUAGUCAUACGUGCUUAUGGAAAAGGACUUGCAUGACAUCUUUUGUCCUACCCUCCCGUGGCAGCGGGGUCUUUACGGAAACUAAGGGAUAUUAAGGCCUCCUUUUAAUAGAGAACCGGAACAAAGCAUUAACACAUAGUGAAUACAUGAACUCCUCAAACUACGGUCAUCAUCGGUAAGUAUCCCGAUUAUUGUCACUUCCGGGUUAACGGAUCAUAACACAUAAUAGGUGACUAUAGACUUGCAAGAUAGGAUCAAGAACACCCAUAUAUUGAUGAAAACAUAAUAGGUUCAGAUCUGAAAUCAUGGCACUCGGGCCCCAGUGACAAGCAUUAAGCAUAGCAAAGUCAUAUCAACAUCAAUCUCAGAACAUAGUGGAUACUAGGGAUCAAACCCUAAUAAAACUAACUCGAUUACAUGAUAGAUCUCAUCCAACCCAUCACCGUCCAGCAAGCCUACGAUGGAAUUACUCACGCACGGCGGUGAGCAUCAUGAAAUUGGUGAUGGAGGAUGGUUGAUGAUGACGAUGGCGACGGAUUCCCCUCUCCGGAGCCCCGAACGGACUCCAGAUCAGCCCUCCCGAGAGGUUUUAGGGCUUGGCGGCGGCUCUGUAUCAUAAAACGUGAUGAUUUCUUCUCCCUGAUUUUUUUCUCCCCGAAACUCAAUAUAUGGAGUUGGAGUCGGAGAGGCAAUAGGGGCCCACAAGGUAGGGGCGCGCCCUAGGGGGGCAGGCGCGCCCUCCACCCUCGUGGGCAGGUGGUGGGCCCCCUGGCCUUCAUCUUUCGUAGGUAUUUUUCUUAUUUUCUGAAAAGUGACUCCGUGAAGUUCCAGGUCAUUCCCAAAAUGUUUGCUCCUGCACAUAAAUAACACCAUGGUAAUUCUGCUGAAAACAACGUCAGUCCGGGUUAGUUCCAUUCAAAUCAUGCAAGUUAGAGUCCAAAACAAGGGCAAAAGUGUUUGGAAAAGUAGAUACGUUGGAGACGUAUCAACUCCCCCAAGCUUAAACCUUUGCUUGUCCUCAAGCAAUUCAGUUGACAAACUGAAAGUGAUAAAGAAAAACUUUUACAAACUCUGUUUGCUCUUGUUGUUGUAAAUAUGUAAAGCUAGCAUUCAAGUUUUCAGCAAAGAUUAUAACUAACCACAUUCACAAUAACGCAUAGGUCUCAAGUUUACUCAUAUCAAUAGCAUAAUCAACUAGCGAGCCAUAAUAAUAGAUCUCGGAUGACAACACUUUCUCAAAACAAUCAUAAUAUGAUAUAACAAGAUGGUAUCUCGCUAGCCCUUUCUGAGACCGCAAAACAUAAAUGCAGAGCACCUUUAAAGACCAAGGACUGACUAAACAUUGUAAUUCAAGGUAAAAGAGAUCUAGUCAAGUCAUACUCAAUGUAAACUAACAGUAAUGAAUGCAAAUGACAGCGGUGCUCUCCAACUGGUGCUUUUUAAUAAGAGGAUGAUGACUCAGCAUAAAAGUAAAUAGAUAGGCCCUUCGCAGAGGGAAGCAGGGAUUUAUAGAGGUGCCAGAGCUUGGUUUUGAAACAGAGGUGAAUAAUAUUUUGAGUGGUAUACUUUCAUUGUCAACAUAACAACCAAGAGAUGGCGAUUUCUUCCAUGCUACACACAUUAUAGGCAGUUCCCAAACAGAAUGGUAAAGUUUAUACUCCCCCUUCCACCAACAAGCAUCAAUCCAUGGCUUGCUCGAAACAACGAGUGCCUCCAACUAACAAGAGUCCCAGGGGGAGUUUUGUUUGCAAUUAUUUUGAUUUAGUUUGCAUAUAGCAUGGGACUGGGCAUCUAGGUGACCAGCCAUUUAUCUCAUGAGUGAGGAGCGGAGUCCACUCCUCUUGAGAAUAACCCACCUAACAUGGAAGAUAUGGACAGCCCUAGUUGAUACAUGAGCUAUUCGAGCAUACAAAAUAGGAUAUUUAUUUGAAGGUUUAGAGUUUGGCACAUACAAAUUUACUUGGAACGGCGGGUAGGUACCGUAUAUAGGUAGAUAUAGUGGACUCAUGUGGAAUAACUUUGGGGUUUAAGGGAUUAGAUGCACAAGCAGUAUUCCCGCUUAGUACAGGUGAAGGCUAGCAAAAGACUGGGAAGCGGCCAGCUAGAGAGCGACAACAGUCAUUAACAUGCAUUAAAAUUAAUCAACACGGAAUGCAAGCAUGAGUAGGAUAUAAUCCACCAUGAACAUAAAUAUCAUGAAGGCUAUGUUGAUUUUGUUUCAACUACAUGCGUGAACAUGUGCCAAGUCAAGUCACUUAAAUCAUUCAGAGGAGGAUACCACCCUAUCAUACCACAUCAUAAACAUUUUAAUAGCAUGUUGGCACGCAAGGUAAACCAUUAUAACUCAUAGCUAAUCAAGCAUGGCACAAGAAACUAUGAUCUCUAGUUGUCAUUGCAAACAUGUUUAUUCAUAAUAGGCUGAAUCAGGAAUGAUGAACUAAUCAUAUUUACAAAAACAAAAGAGGUCGAGUUCAUACCAGCUUUUCUCAUCUCAUUCAGUCCAUCAUAUAUUGUCAUAAUUGCCUUUCACUUGCACGACCGAAUGAUGUGAAUAAUAAUAAUAGUGCGUGUGCAUUGAACUAAGCUGGAAUCUGCAAGCAUCCAAUAAACAGGAGAAGACAAGGCAAUACGGGCUCUUUUGUCAGAUCAACAAUAAUGCAUAUAAGAGCCACUUCAGCAAUUUAAUUAUGGUCUUCUCCUAUCGACCCCCAAAGAAAAGAAAAGAAAUAAAACUAUUUACACGGGAAAGCUCCCAACAAGCAAAAGAAGAACAGGAAAUAUUUUUGGGUUUUCUUUUAAUUUGCUACUACAAGCAUGGAAAUUAAACUAACUAAAAGCUACAACUAAUUUUUUUGUUUUUCUUAAGGUUUAUUAAACACACAAGAAGAAAGCAUAAAAAGGAAAUUAAACUAGCAUGGAUGAUACAAUGAAAAAGUAUGAGCACCGACAUCUAGCAAUGAGUGUAUGAACAUAAAUGUAAUGUCGGUGGGAAAUACGUACUCCCCCAAGCUUAGGCUUUUGGCCUACGUUGGUCUAUGGCUAUGGCUGGCCUGGCGGAUAUCCAUAUUAGUAGUUGGGGUCGUACUGCGAUGCAGUGGCUAUCGCCUGCUGAGGUGCAGCGUGGCGACGAGCGGCCUCCGCUCUCCUCUCGUACUCAUCUGCCUCCUCUCUGGUAAUAGUAUAUCUUCCUCUUGCCUGAUAAUCAAAGAAGGCAGGAGCAGGGAGAGUAAUACGGACAGCACGGCAUCUGUCAAAGAUUAGUCGAUACUGGAGAGGUGAUUCGUUCCUCUCGACAAACUAGUGGUGAACCAUAGCAUGAAAAUCUAGAUAAGCAGGAGGUAAUUCAAUAUCAUCUUCGCGUAUGGCUAUACCAAGAAAAUUAGCUAUGCGGGUUGCAUAAAUUCCGCCAAACAAAUCUCCAUUAAGUCUAUUAAGGUGCAACCUACGUGCAACAAUGGCUCCCAAAUUAUAUGAUUUGUCUCCUAACACAUCACUCCUAAGAAUACUGAGAUCGGGGACACACAUGUGACAUGCCUCAUCUUUACCAUUAAUGCAUCUACCUAUAAAGAGAGCAAAAUAAUGUAUAACUAGAAAGUGAAUGCUCCCUAUGGUAGCUUGUGUAAUAUCUCUAGAUUCUCCCACAGUUAUGCUAGCAAAAAAAUCUCUAAAUUCAUAUUUGCGAGGAUCCCUUAUACUACCCCAUUGUGGAAGUUUGCAAGCAGUGGUAAAAUCCUCUAAGUCCAUAGUGUAAGAUUUAUCAUAAAGAUCAAAUAGGACAGUUGCAGAAUUACGUGAAGUUGAAAAUUCAAACCUCCUCACAAAGGUACUGGUGAGGUUGUGAUACUGGCUGCACUUCUCUUCCACGAAGCUCAUGAGAUCAGCAUUGCACAAAUAUGCGUUGAAUUCUUCCUUAAUUCCCACUUGAUCCAUAAAGUUCUCAGAAGGCCACUCACAAGGACGCACUGGAGCGUCUCUUGGUGACUCUUCAUCAGCAUCACGCAUGGCAAGCCUGGGUCCUUACUUCCUUGAGGAACCACCUUGGAACAUUUUCCUAAGCAUUUUUCUUCCUCUGAAAAAUUCUGAAAUUUUUUAGUAACUUCAAAAUAAAAAGUAAACCAAACUCAAUAAUAUUGAUAGCAACUACUCCCACAAGUGCCUAGGGCCUAUAUCAUGCAUCAAAACUACUUUUAACCAAAUAAAUUUGACAUGCAAGCUCAAGAACAGGGCCACCUAAGCAGCAAAAAAUUGCAAUGAAUAAAGCACUAGAACAAAAACUAAUUGGACCAAUGGAUGAGUCACAUACCAAGGAACAAUCUUUCCAAGCAGUUUUGUGAGAGGUGCUUUGAGCAGGGAGAUCGAAAAUGGCAGCAAAACGAGCUUGGACUCGGGUUUGAGCUGGAUAUUCGUGUUUGGGGGAGGAAGAAGGAGUGUGUGGGUGAAAGGAUAAGUGGAGGAGGCCACCAUGGGCCCACAAGACAGGGGGCGCGCCCAGGGGGUAGGGCGCGCCCAGGGGGUAGGGCGCGCCCUCCACCCUCGUGGGCAGGUGGUUGGCCCACCUGCUGUGUUCUCAGUGCCAAAUACUCUCAAAUAUUCUCGAAAAAAUCAUAUUUAAAUUUCAGGGCAUUUGGAGAACUUUUAUUUCCGAGGUAUUUUUAUAUUGCAUGGAUAAUUAGAUAACAGACAGAAAAAUAUUUAUUUUUAUUUUAUUUAAUAUAAAUAACAGAAAGUAAAAGUGGGGUACAGAAGGUUGUGCCUUCUAGUUUCAUCCUUCUCAUGAUCAUCAAAAGGAAUCCACUAACAAGGUUGAUCAAGUCUUGUUAACGAACUCAUUCCGAAUAACAUGGAACCGGAGAAAUUUUGAAUAACACUAUGUUACCUCAAUGGGGAUAUGCACAUCCCCAAUAAUAAGAAUAUCAUAUUUCUUAUUGACAGUAGGAAGAGGAAAUUCAAAACCUCCAAAUAUAAUCGAUGGAAUUUUUCCAAUAGAGUUAAUACUAUGAACUUGAGGUUGUUUCCUCGGAAAGUGUACCGUAUGCUCAUUACCAUUAACAUGAAAAGUGACAUUGUCUUUAGUGCAAUCAAUAACAGCCCCUGCAGUAUUCAAAAAGGGUCUUCCAGGAAUAAUAAACAUAAUAUCGUCCUCGGGAAUAUCAAGAAUAACAAAGUCCGUUAAAAUAGUAACGUUUACAACUAUAACAGGCACAUCCUCAAAAAUACCGACAGGUAUAGCAGUUGAUUUAUCAGCCAUUUGCAAAGAUAUUUCAGUAGGUGUCAACUUAUUCAAAUCAAGUCUAUGAUAUAAAGAGAGAGGCAUAACACUAACACCGGGUUAUCAAAUUUGGCAUAACACUAGCAACAAAUCCAAAUGAUUCUUUGAUUGUGGGUUAUCAAGAUCAACAGCAGGUUCAAUUUCUAUGUCAUUAUCAUUACUAGGUUGAGCAUCAUCAUGAAUAUUAUUAUUAACAUUAUCACUAGUUUCAGGUUCAUUACCAGAUUGAGUUUUAGCAUCAGAAAUAGAAAUAUCAUUUGGAUUCUCAGGUGUUUCAGUAAUAGGUUCACUAGAAGCAUGCAAAGUCCUAUCAUUUUUCUUUUUCUUCUUUUUAGAAGAACUAGGUACAUCUAUAUUAUUUCUCUGGGAAUCUUGCUCAAUUCUCUUAGGGUGGCCUUCAUGAUACAAAGGUUCCUGAGUCAUUCUACUAGUUCUAGUAGCCACUCUAACAGCAUUAUCAUUAUCUUUACUAUUCAAUUCAUUGAGCAAAUCAUUUUGAGCUUUAAGUACUUGUUUUACUUGAGUGGUAACCAUAGAAGCAUGUUUACUAAUAAGUUUAAGUUCACCUUUAACAUUAGCCAUAUAAUCACCCAAGUGUUCAAGCAUAUUUGAAUUGUAUUUCAAUUGUCUACCAAAAUAAGCAUUAAAGUCUUCUUGCUUAGCCAUAAAUUUAUCAAACUCAUCUAAGCAUGGGCUAGCAAAUUUAGUAAAUGGGAUUUCAGCUUUGUCAUAUCUAUAGAGAGAAUUUACCUUUACUACCUAUGUCGGGUUAUCAAGACCAUGAGUUUCUUCAAUAGGUAAUGGAUUAAGAUUAUAUGUUUCUUCAACAGGCGGUAGAUUAAGACCAUGUAUUUCUUCAAUAGGAAGUAAAUUCUUAAUAUCUUCAGCUUUAAUACCCUUUUCUUUCAUAGAUUUCUUUGCCUCUUUCAUAUCUUCAGGACUGAGAAAUAGAAUACCAUCUUCUUCGGAGUUGGUUUAGGAAUAGGCUCAGGAAUUGGUUCCGGAGGUGUCCAAUUAUUUUCAUUUGUCAACAUAUUAUUCAAUAGAAUAUCAGCUUCAUCCGGUGUUCUUUCCCUGAAAGCAGAACCAGCACAACUAUCCAGGUAAUCUCUGGAGGCAUCGGUUAGUCCAUUAUAAAAGAUAUCAAGUAUUUCAUUUUUCUUAAGAGGCUGAUUAGGCAAAGCAUUAAGUAAUUGGAGAAUCCUCGCCCAAGCUUGUGGGAGACUCUCUUCUUCAAUUUGCACAAAAUUAUAUAUAUCCCUUAAAGUAGCUUGUUUCUUAUGAGUAGGGAAAUAUUUAACAGAGAAGUAAUAAAUCAUAUCCUAGGGACUACGCACACAACCAGGAUCAAGAGAAUUAAACCAUAUAUUAGCAUCACCCUUUAAUGAGAACGGAAAUAUUUUAAGGAUAUAAAAGUAGUGAGUUCUCUCAUCUUUAGUGAACAGGGUAGCUAUAUCAUUCAAUUUAGUAUGAUGUGCCACAACAGUUUCAGAUUCAUAACCAUGAAAAGGAUCAGAUUCAACCAAAGUAAUUAUAUCAGGAUCAACAGAGAAUUCAUAAUCCUUAUCAGUAACAAAGAUAUGGGAAGUAGCAAAAGCAGGGUCAGGUUUCAUUCUAGCAUUUAGAGAUUGCUUACUCCAUUUAGCUAAUAACUUUUUGAGUUCAUUUCUAUUUUACAAGCUAAAAUAGCUAAGGAAGCUUCUUGAUCAAAAACAUAACCCUUAGGAAUAACAAGUGAUUCUUCAUCAUCACUUUCAUCAGUAUCAUCAGAUUCAAUAUUUUCAAUUUCUCUAGCCCUAGCAAGUUGUUCAUCAAGAAAAUCACUAAGUGGCAUAGUAGUAUCAGGCAUAGAGGUAGUUUCAUCAUAAGUAUCAUGCAUAGCAGAAGUGGCAUCAUCAAUAACAUGCGACAUAUCAGAACGAAUAGCAGAAGCAGGUGUAGGUGUUGCAAGCUUACUCAAAACAGAAGGUGAAUCAAGUGCAGAGCUAGAUGGUGAUACGUCUCCAACGUAUCUAUAAUUUUUGAUUGCUCCAUGGUAUAUUAUCUACUGUUUUGGACUAUAUUGGGCUUUAUUUUACACUUUUAUAUUAUUUUUGUGACUAACCUAUUAACCAGAGGCCCAACCUAGAAUUGUUGUUUUUUUGCCUAUUUGAGUGUUUCGGAGAAACAGAAUAUCAAACGGAGUCCAAACGGAAUGAAAACUUUGGAAACGUGAUUUUCUCAUCAGAUAAGAUCCAGGAGACUUGGACCCUCCAUUAAGAAAGCCACGAGGCGGUCACGAGGGUGGAGGGCACGCCCCCCCCCUAGGGCGCGCCCCCUGCCUCAUGGGCCCCUCGAAGCUCCACCGACGUACUUCUUCCUCCUAUAUAUACCAAUGUACCCCCAAACGAUCGGGGACGGAGCCUAAAACCUAAUUCCACCGCCGCAACUUUCUGUAUCCACGAGAUCCCGUGUUGGGGCUAUUCCGGAGCUCCGCCGGAAGGGGCAUCGAUCACGGAGGGAUUCUACGUCAUCAUCCUAGCCCCUCUUAUGAAGUGUGAGUAGUUUACUUCAGACCUACGGGUCCAUAGUUAGUAGCUAGAUGGCUUCUUCUCUCUUUUUGGUCCUCAAUACAAUGUUCUCCCCCUCUCUUGUGGAUAUCAAUUCGAUGUAAUCUUCUUUUUGCGGUGUGUUUGUUGAGACCGAUGAAUUGUGGGUUUAUGAUCAAGUCCAUCUAUGAAUAAUAUUUGAAUCUUCUCUGAAUUCUUUUAUGUAUGUUUGGUUAUCUUUGCAAGUCUCUUCGAAUUAUCAGUUUGGUUUGGCCUACUAGAUUGGUUGUUCUUGCCAUGGGAGAAGUGCUUAGCUUUGGGUUCGAUCUUGCGGUGUCCUUUCCCAGUGACAGAAGGGGCAGCAAGUCACAUAUUGUAUUGUUGCCAUCGAGGAUAACAAGAUGGUGUUUUUAUCAUAUUGCAUGAAACUAUCCCUCUACAUCAUGUCAUCUUGCUUAAGGUGUUACUCUGUUUUUAACUUAAUACUCUAGAUGCAUGCUGGAUAGCGGUCGAUGAGUGGAGUAAUAGUAGUAGAUGCAUGCAUGAGUCGGUCUACUUGUCUCGGACGUGAUGCCUAAAUACAUAAUCAUACCUAGAUAUUCUCCUAACUAAGCUCAAUUCUGUCAAUUGCUCAACAGUAAUCUGUUCACCCACCGUAGAAUACUUAUGCUCUUGAGAGAAGCCACUAGUGAAACCUAUGGCCCCCGGGUCUCUUUCUCAUCAUAUCAAUCUCCAUCACUUUAUUAUUGCUUUGCUAUUAAUUUGCAUUUACUUUUUACUUUGUAUCUCUAUACCAAAAAUACCAAAAAUAUUAUUUAUCAUCUCUAUCAGAUCUCACUUUCGUAAGUGACCGUGAAGGGAUUGACAACCCCUAAGUGCGUUGGUUGCGUUGAGCUAUUGUUUUUGUGUAGGUACGAGGGACUCGCGCGUAGCCUCCUACUGGAUUGAUACCUUGGUUCUCAAAAACUGAGGGAAAUACUUACGCUACUUUGCUGCAUCAUCCUCUCCUCUUCGGGGAAAUCCAAUGCAGUGCUCAAGAGGUAGCAAGAAGAGUUUCUAGCACCGUUGUCGGGGAGUCUGCGCAAAAGUCAACAUACCAAGUACCCAUGACAAUCCCUAUCUGCCGCAUUACAUUAUUUGCCAUUUGCCUCUCGUUUUCCUCUCCCCCACUUCACCCUUGCCGUUUUAUUCGCCCUCUCUCUCUCUAUCCUCCCUCUCUUUCUCUAUUUGCCUCUUUUUGCCCGUUUGCUUUUUGUUUGCUCAUGUGUUGGAUUGCUUGUUUGUCGCGAUGGCUCUUCCUAGAUUCGGUGAUCUUCACCUUAAAAGGUCAGAGGAGAUCGAAAACAACGUCAGGAAAUUUAUGGUUUUGCAAUUUGAGCAUAAUAAUUUCUUUAGAAAUGAGCUUAAGGAACAAAAAGGUUUUAUGAUUUAUAUGAAUAAAGAGCUCAAUGAUAUGUCUAAAGAAUUUGAUGGUAUAAGAUCCCAAAUUGCUCGUCUUGAAAAAUUAAUUGCUGAAAUUUCGGAUAUGCAAGCUACCUUAGUCAAUAAGAUGGCCGCUAAACUGGAUUCCUAUGAAAAUCAAGAUGAAGAUCUAAAAGUUAUUGAUGUGUCCCCUAUUAAAUCUUUGUUUUGCAAUAUUAAUCUUGAUAAUGAUGGGACUGAAUAUGAUCCACCUUUACCUAGAAGGUGUUCUAAAAAUUCAGAGUAUUUAGACCUUGAUGAUGAAAUUGAUAAAAGUGGGAUUAAAAGAAAUAAAACCCUAGAUGAUGCUAAACCCACUAUAUUGGAUUUCAAGGAAUUUAAUUAUGAAAAUUGCUCUUUAAUUGAUUGUAUUUCCUUGUUGCAAUCCGUGCUAAAUUCGCGUCAUGCUUAUAGCCAAAAUAAAGCCUUUACCGAACAUAUCGUUGAUGCCUUGAUGCAAUUUUAUGAAGAAAAACUUGAGUUGAAAGUUUCUAUCCCUAGAAAACUUGAUGACGAGUGGGUACCUACUAUUAAAAUUAAAAUUAAAGAUUAUGAGUUUUAUGCUUUGUGUGAUUUGGGUGCUAGUGUCUCUACUAUUCCCAAAACUUUGUGUGAUUUGCUAGAUUUCUGUGAUUUUGAUGAUUGCUCUCUAAACUUGCAUCUUGCGGAUUCCACUAUUAAGAAACCUAUGGGAAGAAUUAAUGAUGUUCUUAUUGUUGCAAAUAGGAAUUAUGUGCUCAUAGAUUUUAUCGUUCUUGAUAUAGAUUGCAAUCCUUCUUGCCCUAUUAUUCUCGGUAGACCAUUCCUUAGAACGGUUGGUGCAAUUAUUGAUAUGAAGGAAGGGAACAUUAUAAUUCAAUUUCCAUUAAAAAAGGGCAUGGAACACUUCCCUAGAAAGAAAAUAAAAUUACCAUAUGAAUCUAUCAUGAGAGUCACUUAUGGAUUGCCUACCAAAGAUGGCAAUACCUAGAUCUAUUCUUGCUUGUUAUGCCUAGCUAGGGGCGUUAAACGAUAGUGCUUGUUGGGAGGCAACCCAAUUUUAUUUUUAUUCCUUGCAUUUUGCUCCUGUUUAGUAAUAAAUAAUUUAUCUAGCCUCUGUUUUGGUUGUGUUUUUUGUGUUUAAUUAGUGUUUGUGCCAAGUAGAAUCGUUGGGAAGACUUGGGGAAAGUCUUGUUGAACUUGCUGUAAAAAACAGAAACUUUAGGGCUCACGAGAACUGCUGUCAUUUUUAUUUGGAACGCUCUAUUUAGUUAAUUAUUUUUGCGGAUGUUUAAUAGAUAAAUUCCUCACGUACAGAAAUUUAUUUUAGAAUUUUUGGGAUUCCAUAUCUUGCGCUAGCUACAGAUUACUACAGACUAUUCUGUUUUUGACAGAUUCUAUUUUUCGUGUGUUGUUUGCUUAUUUUGAUGAAUCAAUGGCUAGUAAAAUAGUUUAUAAUCCAUAGAGAAGUUGGAAUACAGUAGGUUUUACACCAAUAUAAAUAAAUAAUGAGUUCAUUACAGUACCUUGAAGUGGUCUUUUGUUUUCUUUCGCUAACGGAGCUCACGAGUUUUCUACUUUAAGUUUUGUGUUGUGAAGUUUUCAAGUUUUGGGUAAAGAUUUGAUGGAUCAUGGAACAAGGAGUGGCAAGAGCCUAAGCUUGGGGAUGCCCAUGGCACCCCCAAUAUAAUCUAAGGACACCUAAAAGCCAAAGCUUGGGGAUGCCCCGGAAGGCAUCCCCUCUUUCGUCUACUUCUAUCGGUAACUUUACUUGGAGCUAUAUUUUUAUUCACCACAUGAUAUGUGUUUUGCUUGGAGCGUCUUUUAUGAUUUGAGUCUUUUCUUGUUAGUCUACCACAAUCAUCCUUGCUGUACACACCUUUUGAGAGAGCCAUACAUGAUUUGGAAUUUGAUAGAAUACUCUAUGUGCUUCACUUAUAUCUUUUGAGCUUUAUAGUUUUGCUCUAGUGCUUCACUUAUAUCUUUUAGAGCACGGUGGUGGAUUUGUUUUAUAGAAACUAUUGAUAUCUCAUGCUUCACUUAGAUUAUUUUGAGAGUCUUAAUAGCAUGGUAAUUUUCAUAAAAUCCUAAUAUGCUUGGUAUGCAAGAUUAAUAAUAAAACUUUCUUAUGAGUGUGUUGAAUGCUAAGAAAAGUUUGAUGCUUGAUGAUUGUUUUGAGAUAUGGAGGUAAUAAUAUCAAAGUCAUGCUAGUUGAGUAGUUUUGAAAUUGAGAAAUACUUGUAUUGAAGUUUGCAAGUCCCAUAGCAUGCACGUGUGGUAAACGUUAUGCAACAAAUUUGAAACAUGAGGUGUUAUUUGAUUGUCUUCCUUAUGAGUGGCGGUCGGGGACGAGCGAUGGUCUUUUCCUACCAAUCUAUCCCCUUAGGAGCAUGCGCGUAGUGCCGAGGUUUUUGAUGACUUGUAGAUUUUUGCAAUAAGUAUGUGAGUUCUUUAUGACUAAUGUUGAGUCCAUGGAUUAUAUGCACUAUCACCCUUCCAUCCUUGCUAGCCUCUUCGGUACCGUGCAUUGCCCUUUCUCACAUUGAGAGUUGGCGCAAACUUCGCCGGUGCAUCCAAACCUCGUGAUAUGAUACGCUCUUUCACACAUAAACCUCCUUAUAUCUUCCUCAAAACAGCCACCAUACCUACCUAUUAUGGCAUUUCCAUAGCCACUCCGGGAUAUAUUGCCAUGCAACUUUCUAUCAUUCCGUUCAUCAUGACACAUUCAUCAUUUUCAUAUUGCUUAGCAUGAUCAUGUAGUUGACAUAGUAUUUGUGGCAAAGCCACCGUUCAUAAUUCUUUCAUACAUGUCACUCUUGGUUCAUUGCAUAUCCCGGUACACCGCCGGAGGCAUUCAUAUAGAGUCAUCUUUGUUCUAGUAUCGAGUUGUAAUCAUUGAGUUGUAAAUAAAUAGAAGUGUGAUGAUCAUCAUUAUUAGAGCAUUGUCCCAAGUGAGGAAUAAAAAAAGAGAAGGCCCAAAAAAAGAGAAAGGUCAUAAAUAAAAGGAAAAGGCCCAAAAAUGAGAGAAAAAGAGAGAAAGGACAAUGUUACCAUCCUUUUACCACACUUGUGCUUCAAAGUAGCACCAUGAUCUUCAUAGUAGAGAGUCUCUCAUGUUAUCACUUUCAUAUACUAGUGGGAAUUUUUUCAUUAUAGAACUUGGCUUGUGUAUUCCAACAAUGGGCCUCCUCAAGUGCCCUAGGUCUUCGUGAGCAAGCAAGUUGGAUGCACACCCACUAGUUUCUUUUGUUGAGCUUUCAUACAUUUAUAGCUCUAGUGCAUCCGUUGCAUGGCAAUCUCUAUUCCUUGCAUUAACAUCAAUCGGUGGGCAUCUCCAUAGCCCAUUGAUUAGCCUCGUUGAUGUGAGACUUUCUCCUUUUUUGUCUUCUCCACAUAACCCCCCUCAUUAUAUUCUAUUCCACCCAUAGUGCUAUGUCCAUGGCUCGCGCUCAUAUAUUGCAUGAAAGUUUAUAGGUUUGAGAUUACUAAAGUAUGAAACAAUUGCUUGGCUUGUCAUCAGGGUUGUGCAUGAUGAGAGCAUUCUUGUGUGACGAAAAUGAAACAUGACUAAACUAUAUGAUUUUGUAGGGAUGAACUUUCUUUGGCCAUGUUAUUUUGAGAAGACAUAAUUGCUUAGUUAGUAUGCUUGAAGUAUUAGCAUUUUUAUGUCAAUAUGAACUUUUGUCUUGAAUCUUUCGGAUCUGAAUAUUCAUACCACAAUUAAGAAGAAUUACAUUAAAAUUAUGCCAAGUAGCACUCCGCAUCAAAAAAAUUCUUUUUAUCAUUUACCUACUCGAGGACGAGCGGGAAUUAAGCUUGGGGAUGCUUGAUACGUCUCCAACGUAUCUAUAAUUUUUUAUUGCUCCAUGCUAUAUUAUCUACUAUUUUGGACUAUAUUGGGCUUUAUUUUCCACUUUUAUAUUAUUUUUGGGACUAACCUAUUAACCAGAGGCCCAGCCCAGAAUUGUUGGUUUUUGCCUAUUUCAGUGUUUCGGAGAAACAGAAUAUCAAACAGAGUCCAAACGGAAUGAAACCUUCGGAAACAUGAUUUUCUCACCAGAUAAGAUCCAGGAGACUUGGACCCUCCGUCAAGAAAGCCACGAGGCGGUCACGAGGGUGGAGGGCGCGCCCCUUGCCACAUGGGCGCCUCGAAGCUCCACCGACGUACUUCUUCCUCCUAUAUAUACCUACAUACCCCCAAACGAUCGGGGACGGAGCCAAAAACCUAAUUCCACCGCCGCAACUUUCUGUAUCCACGAGAUCCCAUCUUGGGGCCUAUUCCGGAGCUCCACCGGAAGGGGCAUCGAUCACGGAGGGAUUCUACAUCAUCAUCCAAGCCCCUCCAAUGAAGUGUGAGUAGUUUACUUCAGACCUACGGGUCCAUAGUUGGUAGCUAGAUGGCUUCUUCUCUCUUUUUGGAUCUCAAUACAAUGUUCUCCCCCUCUCUUGUGGAGAUCUAUUCGAUGUAAUCUUCUUUUUGCAGUGUGUUUGUUGAGACCGAUGAAUUGUGGGUUUAUGAUCAAGUCUAUCUAUGAAUAAUGUUUAAAUCUUCUCCGAAUUCUUUUAUGUAUGAUUGGUUAUCUUUGCAAGUCUCUUUGAAUUAUCAGUUUGGUUUGGCCUACUAGAUUGGUUGUUCUUGCCAUGGGAGAAGUGCUUAGCUUUGGGUUCGAUCUUGCGGUGUCCUUUCCCAGUGACAGAAGGGGCAGCAAGUCACAUAUUGUAUUGUUGCCAUCGAGGAUAACAAGAUGGUGUUUUUAUCAUAUUGCAUGAAACUAUCCCUCUACAUCAUGUCAUCUUGCUUAAGGCGUUACUCUGUUUUUAACUUAAUACUCUAGAUGCAUGCUGGAUAGCGGUCGAUGAGUGGAGUAAUAGUAGUAGAUGCAGGCAUGGUCGGUCUACUUGUCUCGGACGUGAUGCCUAAAUACAUAAUUAUACCUAGAUAUUCUCCUAACUAAGCUCAAUUCUGUCAAUUGCUCAACAGUAAUCUGUUCACCCACCGUAGAAUAUUUAUGCUCUUGAGAGAAGCCACUAGUGAAACCUAUGGCCCCGGGUCUCUUUCUCAUCAUAUCAAUCUCCAUCACUUUAUUAUUGCUUUGCUAUUAAUUUGCAUUUACUUUUUACUUUGUAUCUCUAUACCAAAAAUACCAAAAAUAUUAUUUAUCAUCUCUAUCAGAUCUCACUUCCGUAAGUGACCGUGAAGGGAUUGACAACCCCUAAGCGCGUUGGUUGCGUUGAGCUAUUGUUUUUGUGUAGGUACGAGGGACUCGCGCGUAGCCUCCUACUGGAUUGAUACCUUGGUUCUCAAAAAUUGAGGGAAAUACUUACGUUACUUUGCUGCAUCAUCCUAUCCUCUUCGGGGAAAUCCAACGCAAUGCUCAAGAGGUAGCAGAUGGCAGUUCCUUACCUCCCCUCGUAGUUGAGGGAUAAAUCUUGGUUGUUGGAUCUUUCAAGUUCUUCAUAAUGAUAAGCAGAUAUAUAUCCCAAGUGACUCAAAGAAUAGAGCUAUGCUCCCCGACAACGGCGCUUGAAAAUAGUCUUGAUAACCCACAAGUAUAGGGGAUCGCAACAGUUUUCGAGGGUAAAUUAUUCAACCCAAAUUUAUUGAUUUGACACAAGGGGAGAAAAAGAAUACUCUCAUGUAUUAGCAGCUGAGUUGUCAAUUCAACCACACCUGGAAACAUAAUAUCUGCAGCAAAGUAUUUAGUAGCAAAGUAAUAUGAUAGUAGUGAUAACGGUAUCAAAAGGUAACGGUAAUAAAAGCAAUGUUUUUGGUAUUUUGUAGUGAUGAUAGCAAUAGCAAUGGGAAAGUAAAUAAGCGAAGAACAAUAUGUGGAAAGCUCGUAGGCAAUGGAUCGGUGAUGGAGAAUUAUGCUGGAUGCGGUUCAUCAUGUAACAGUCAUAACCUAGGGUGACACAGAACUAGCUCUAGUUCAUUGAUAUAAUGUAGGCAUGUAUUCCGAAUAUAGUCAUACGUGCUUAUGGAAAAGAACUUGCAUGACAUCUUUUGUCCUACCCUCCCGUGGCAGCGGGGUCCGUAUGGAAACUAAGGGAUAUUAAGGCCUCCUUUUAAUAGAGAACCGGAACAAAGCAUUAACACAUACUGAAUACAUGAACUCCUGAAACUACGAUCAUCACCGGUAAGUAUCCCGAUUAUUGUCACUUCCGGGUUAACGGAUCAUAACACAUAAUAGGUGACUAUAGACUUGCAAGAUAGGAUCAAGAACACCCAUAUAUUGAUGAAAACAUAAUAGGUUCAGAUCUGAAAUCAUGGCACUCGGGCCCUAGUGACUAGCAUUAAGCAUUGCAAAGUCAUAUCAGCAUCAAUCUCAGAACAUAGUGGAUACUAGGUAUCAAACCCUAACAAAACUAAAUCGAUCACAUGAUAGAUCUCAUCCAAUACAUCACCGUCAAGCAAGCCUAUGAUGGAAUUACUCACACACGGCGGUGAGCAUCAUGAAAUUGGUGAUGGAGGAUGGUUGAUGAUGAUGAUGGCGACGGAUUCCCCUCUCCGGAGCCCCGAACGGACUCCAGAUCAGCCCUCCCGAGAGGUUUUAGGGCUUGGCGGCGGCUCUGUAUCAUAAAAAGCGAUGAUUUCUUCUCCCUGAUUUUUUUCUCCCUGAAACUCAAUAUAUGGAGUUGGUGUCGGAGAGGCAACAGGGGGCCCACGAGGUAGGGGCGCGCCCCCACCCUCGUGGGCAAGUGGUGGGCCCCCUGGCCUUCGUCUUUUGCAGGUAUUUUUCUUAUUUUUUGAAAAGUGGCUCCGUGAAGUUUCAGGUCAUUCCGAGAACGUUUGCUCCUGCACAUAAAUAACACCAUGGUAAUUUUGCUGAAAACAGCGUCAGUCCGGGUUAGUUCCAUUCAAAUCAUGCAAGUUAGAGUCCAAAACAAGGGCAAAAGUGUUCGGAAAAGUAGAUACGUUGGAGACGUAUCCGGUGCCACAGGGGAUGGUAUCAGAGCAACCAGACUGGCAUAGAUUAUCCUAGCAUCAGAUCACCGCUACCAUCAACCCGUAAUGACCCUAAGGGAUUUGACCCAUCCCUGGCAUUCGGCAUGGCCACUGUUAAUCAACAGGUGGCGUAGUCGGGACCAACACGUCCUCACCCCGCUGUCCCCGCCUAGUUAUCCGUGGAUUGAAUAGCACCCCUAUCUUUUCUGGUCCGCCGCAUCACUUUCCCUUUGCCAUUAAGGGAAAGGGGCCACACCCUACGGACAUGUCCUGCCUAGCUACCUAUAAAAGCCCCUUUUCGCUAGCCACAUCGCUCACCCCUCACUCAGCCAUGUCCCUGCAGAAAAGCUUAGCUAGUAGCUCCCCAGCCAUGGCUAGCACCGUUAAAGCUCCCAAGUUUCACACCCGCACUUUUGCCAUCAACCACCCUGGCUUUCCACCCCUUCUUACCGAGAUGCUCACCAAAGCCUUUGGCUAUAAAGAUAGCCCAGAUUACCUGGUGUUCCAGUCGACACCCAUCCCUCACCUUCAUCGCUUUGAUGCAAGAGUGCACAUCAGCCUAGGUCCCGCAGUAGAUGGCCAGCCGUUGGUUUUUCAGGGUAGAUCCAUGCCUACCACUGAUUUAGCCACUACUAGGAAAAGGGCUAUAGAUGAUAUGGCCACUAAUGGCGCACCAGACACAUGGUGCGCCACUAGUAACAAAUUUUUUUCCAAAAAUACUAAUGGCGCACCGGGGCACAGUGCGCCAUUACUAGUUUAACUAGUAACGGUGCACCUGCCACACAGUGCGCCACUACUACAUUUUUUUUGCAAAACUACUAAUGGCGCACCUCAAGCUGGUGCGCCAUUAGUAACCAGGGUUACUAAUGGCGCAUAUGUGGGUGGUGUGCCAUUAGUAACCUGGGACCAGCUAGAUAUUUUGGACAGCCACACCUACACACUCACUUUCCCCACUUCAUUCUCUCCACCUCCUCCUCCAAGCUUGUGUCGGCUGCCUCCUCCUCCUCACCUCAUUUGCACCAUAGAUUCAUCCAAAUUAAGUGGUUUAAAUUACCUUUUUUGAUAGGUAAGUAAGGGGAAAGCUAUCUUUGUGUUGUAGAUCUACUUUUUUUCUCCCUCCAACAACAUGCAAAUGCACUUUUUAUGGCCUAGCUAGAUCUAUGUAUGUUUAUGGUGUUGCAUAUGUUUGUGGUGUUGCAUAUAUGUUUGUGUUUGCAGGUAUCGGUAUUUGAAAAUGCGAUAGUUGCCAAUAUUUUGCCAGAAUGUUAAUUCAUUUCCGUAUCAGCGAGAAUUUUGGCACUAUGCAUUCUUUUUGGUCCUAUUUUUAGGGAAAGUCAUGCCAAUUUUUUUCUUAGUUCUAAAAUAUGGUUUUGCUCUACCCUGCAGGAGACCAUGGUCCGCACGAUGACCGACGGCAUCAUGAAUAGGUUUUUGAGCUCCUCGAAGGGUGAGAUGCUUCAAAAGAACGAGACGGAGAUAAGAUGUCCGUGUCGAAGAUGCAAGCUGAAGAGCCUUAUUGCGGACCCGGAUUCCGGGCAGGUGUGGGACCACCUGCUCUUGCGUGGUUUCAUGGAUGGCUAUCGGUGGCAAGGUGAUGAAGAUGACUAUGAAGUUGUCCAUGGGGGUCGGGCAAGAAAUGAGGAAGGGCAGCAAGACAGCCACCGCAGCGAGGGCGGGCGAGAAGACGAAGAAUCUCCAGGACAUGAUCACGACGGUGAUGCUGUACACAGUCAUCAUGUAGAAGAUGCCGGACAUGAUGAUGAGGAAGAUCAAGAUGAAGGGCAUGAUCAUGAAGAUGAAGAUGCGGGAGCAGACGACGAUGGAGGCUGGGUGCAGGACCCUCAUAUUCAAGAGCUGCUUCUCAAGCAAACGAACAACGCAAGAGCUGCCGCCCAAGAGAAAGCCAAGCUGGAUCAACUAGAGAUAGACGCGGUUACUCCAUUGUAUGAAGGACGCAGGCCUGAGGAUACCCGCCUAAAAGUAACGCUCAUUGCUCUGGAGAUGAAGGUAAAACACAAAAUGACCGACACAUGCUUCGACGAGAACAUGUCAUUCUGGCACGAACGUCUUCCCAAGGGGAACAAGUGCCCGACCAGUUUCGAGGAGGCGAAGAAAAUCGUGUGUCCUCUAGAUUUACCGCACGUGAAAUACCAUGUGUGCAUGAACAAUUGCAUCAUUUAUCGGGACGAGCACGCGGAGUCUACCAUAUGUCCGGUGUGCGGCGUCACUCGAUACAAGAAGAGGAAGAAAGCUCGUCGAAAAGUUGUGUGGUACUUUCCGAUCACUUCUUGUCUACAGCGGUAUUUCGUGGACCCUAAGCUAGCAAAGCUCCUGUGUUGGCACGCGGAUAGGGAGGAGAAGAAGCGAGAAGAUGACGGAAAUGAUCCAGAGAUAAAUAAAAAAGACAAGAUGCUGAGUCACCCUAAGGAUGCGAACCAGUGGCAAGCAUUGAACUUCAAACACCCAGAAUUUGGGGACGAUCCAAGGAACAUCAUGCUGGGCGCAAGCACCUAUGGAGUCAAUCCGUUUGGCAGCCAGAGAAGCACACAUAGCACCUGGCCUAUGUUUGUGUGGAUGUACAACUUUCCCCCUGGUUGUGCAUGAAGAGGAAGUAGAUUCACAUGAGUAUGCUAAUUGAAGGACCGAAACAACCAGGGAACGACAUCAAUCUGUAUCUGGGCCUGCUGAAAGAGGAGCUAGACACGCUGUGGAAAACACCAGCCAAUACGUGGGACGCCACAGAGAAAGAAUAUUUCACUAUGAGAGCCGCAAUGCUCAUGACGGUGCACGACUAUCUCGGUUACGGAUAUCUCGCGAGGCAGGUGUUCCACGGAUUUUCUGGAUGCGUCAGGUGCAUGGAUGACACAACGUAUCGCCAGCUAGAUAGAGAUCCCGGGUCUUCGAAAACCGUGUUCAUGGGACAUCGAAGGUGGCUUCGCGAUGAUGACCCAUGGAGAAAACGCAAGGAUCUGUUCGAUGGUGAAACCGAACCCCGAAGACGCCCGCGUAUGAGGAGCGGCAAGGAAAUAGACGAGCUGUUGAAAAAUUGGAAAGAUUGCCCACUGCCGGCAAAGAAGGAAAAGGCGCCAGAGCCAGGAAAGAAGCGAAAGGCACCAGAGCCGCUGCUGAAGGUAUGGAAAACGAGGUCUAUUUUCUGGGACUUGCCGUACUGGAAGAUCCACCGUGUGCCUCACAGCCUUGAUGUCAUGCAUAUCACGAAGAACGUGUGCAAGAGUCUGCUUGGUACCCUGCUCAACAUGCCAGAGAGGACAAAAGAUGGGCCGAAAGCAAGGGCAGACUUGAUAUCAAUGGGCAUCAGGGAGGAGCUUCACGCUAAUGAUGACGAUGAUGAGGCGAAGCAGGACACGGAAAGUCGUCGCAAAGGCAAAAAGGCCAAGAAGACCAGAAAUGACUACCCUCCCGCGUGCUUCACUCUAAGUUAGGAGGAGAUCGAGCAGUUUUUCACCUGCCUCAUAGGAGUAAAACUUCCUUAUGAUUACGCGGGGAAGAUAAGCAGAUACCUAGACCCAACGAAGUAGAAGUUCAGCGGGAUGAAGUCUCACGACUUUCACGUGCUGAUGACGCAAAUACUUCAAGUUGCAAUCCGUGGGGUCAUGGACGCGCACGUCCGUGAAACGCUAUUUGGCCUAUGCAACUUUUUUGACGUCAUCUCUUGGAAGUCGGUUGGCGUGAGGCAACUCAGAAGGCUACAGGAAGAGAUCGUGGUGAUACUAUGCGAGCUUGAGAUGUACUUCCCGCCCGCAUUCUUCGAUAUUAUGGUGCAUCUGCUGGUCCAUAUCAUGGAGGAUAUCAUCCAACUCGGGUCGUCGUUCCUGCACAGCAUGAUGCCAUUCGAAAGGAUGAAUGGUGUCAUCAAAGGAUACGUUCGCAACAUGUCACAUCCAGAGGGAAGCAUAGCCAGGGGCUUUCUGACCGAAGAGUGCAUCUCCUACUGCACGAAUUAUCUAGGCAUCGAGAACCCUGUUGGUCUGCCCGUCAACAGGCACCUCGGCAGGCUCGCUGGAUGGGGUCACCGCGAGGGUCGCCGCGAAAUGCAUGUCUACUUCGAGGGUCGACUCGCCGACUUUGAAAGAGGAAACCUAGUCGCGCUACAACACAUAGACGUGGUCGAUCCUUGGGUGGUAGAGCACAAAACCUUUAUUGAGAAGACGUACAAUGACCAAGGCCAACAGAGGACGGACGGAGAUAUAAUCAAAGAGCACAACUCAUGUUUCACGCAUUGGUUCAAGCAGAAGCUUUUGUCGUACCCUUUACAUGAGGAUUCUUCUGCGGAAGAACAAAUCAUAUUCGCCUUGUCACAAGGCGCCGAGCACAACCUGAUGACCUAUGAGGCGUACGAUAUCAACGGCUACACAUUCUACACUGAGGACAAGGACAUGAAGAGCGAUGGUUAUCAGAACUCCAGGGUAACGAUGGAAUCCUACAUCGGUAAUGACAAGGAUAGAUACUACGGAAGGAUCGAGGAGAUCUAGGAGCUGAGCUACGCUGGAGAGAAGGUCCCGAUGUUCCGUGUCAGAUAGGCCAAGAGCGUCCUAAAAGAAGACCGGUAUUUCACCACCAUGGUUAUACCCGAAGCCAAAUCCAAGACCGCGGGCGCAAACGUCACUGCGAAAAAUGAGCCAUGGGUACUGGCUUCCCAAGUGGACCAAUGCUUCUUCAUUACUGACCCGUCAAAGCCUAGUCGUGUUGUCGUGAGGAGAGGCAAAAGGAAGAUCAUCGGAAUGGAUGGAUUCGCCAAUGAGCAAGACUUCGACAAGUACGGCGACCCAAAGAUGGAACAUGACGACGACGAUGAAGUAGCAGCAUACACCACAAGAAGAAGCAUGACCACCCUACCUAAAGGAUGUCCGUUCCAUAGAAGAACUCCAUUUGCGAAAAAGAAGGGCAAGAAGAUUGUGAACAGAUAGCUAGCUAAGAUCGAUUGUAUUUAAAUUGUAGCCUUCAUUUCUCGAUUGUAUUUCAUGGGCACUUUUUGAACUCAUGAAUAUUUUUAAAUUUCAUGGGCACUUUUUGAAUUCAUGAAUAUUUUUUCAAAUUUGAUGAUAUUUUUUCAUAUUCAAUAUGAAAAAAUAUUGAAUAUUCAUGAGGAUACUAGAUCUCGAUCCCCCUCCAUCUCGAUCGCUAUCCCCCCUCGCCAGAUCCCCCUUGCCGCUGAGCACCCCCCGCACCCUCCCCCGCUCCACCGCCGCCGACGACCCCCCGCACCCUCCCCCGCUCCACCGUUACAAAUGAAUGCAACUAAAAAUCCAAAAAAACAAAUUUGAUUAUAUUUUUCAAAUAACAAAUUUGAUGAUAUUUUCAAAUAACAAAUUUGAUGAUAUUUUUUAUAUUCAUAAAUAUUUUCAAAUAACAAAUUUGAUGAUAUUUUUUAAAAAAUUAUUACUGUUUUUAUAAAAAUUUAUUACUGUUUCAUAUUCAUAUUCAUUUUUAAAAAAAUUAUUAGAUGCAACAAAAAAUAAUAAUAAUAUUACUUAUGGCACACCGCUGGCUGGUGCGCCAUUGCUAUCUAAAAAAAGAUUACUCAUGGCGCACCGUCCCGGGGGUGCGCCAUUGCUAUAAAAAAACAUUCUAAUGGCGCACCGCCACGGGGUGCACCAUUAGUAAUCUUCCCCCGUAUAGCUAGUCGCCCGAUCCCUUCGUCCCUCCCUCGCCAGAUCCACUCCCCCCUCGCCACACCCUCACGCCCCUCCUUUCGCCGCUCCGACGACCCCCGCACCCGGCCUCGCCGUCUCAGUCCUCGCCGCCGACGGCCUGCCCCGCUCCUUCCCUCCACUCCUCAAUCGCCCUCUCGGUCCUUGCCGCCGACGGCCUGCCCCGCUCCUACGCCCACCACCACGACACAGCCAGGCUACUCAAGGCCUUCAGCCGCACCAUCGAGCCGCGCAACUUCGGCAUCGGCCUCGUCGCCGGCUUCCUCCUUGUCACUUGCGCAUACUUCUCCACCGCCAAGUUCGACGCCAUCCACAUCGCACCCCUCGGUAAGCCACGCCCCUCUCCUCCUCCUCCCCUCCCUCCGCGCAUCUGCAUUCGCCUCCCGCUUCGUCCCUCCCCUUGUCGGUCGCGGCUCUGACUGACCAAUCUCGAUGUGUGUGUUUGUGUGUGCAGUCAGCCCCUUGGAGACCCGGAUUGCCUCGCCGGUGACCGCCGCCGCCACCACUCCUCUUCUUGUCUUCAGAUUUGGGCAUGCCGGGGCUAGACGCGACAUCAUCCAGGGAGGGGAGCAAGGCCGAGGUGCUGGACAUAGACGGCGAGGACCACACGACCACAUCCCCCCCUCCUCCUCCUCGGCGCAAGGUACUGCAAGCUUAUAUUGCAAGAAAGUUUAAAAUUCAAUCUAAAAUUCAGUUAAAGUGAUCUAAAUAUAAAAACUCUUGGAGUAAAAAUUCAGUCUAAAAGUCAGUUAAAGUUUCAGUUUUAGAGUAAUUUUCAGUUUGUAAAACUGAGAAGUGUAUUUUUCUAUUUUGAAACUUAGUGUAACUAUUUUCAAUUUUGAUGGAAAAUCAGUCUAAAAGUCAGUUUAGAUGGCAUUUAAUCAGAAAAUGUUGCAUCAUCAUGCACACAUGUAUCCCCUACUUCGUGGUCAAUGGCCAGCAGUAUCUCCGUAGAUUGCAUAUACAGAUUUCUUGAACAGUGCUAUUAAUUACAAAUAGAGCAAUGUUGAAAAUGAUACAAAAGGAAUUCGAAAACCAGAAAGAUAGGCAUUCUAUUGUAAGUAAGCUAAGAUAAAAAAAAGUGUUUACUUUAAGUAAUUAUUUACAACAAGCAUUGUGUAGGAAAAUGUCAUGCAGGCUGUAACUUGAACUUGAAGAACUCCUUAGAUAGUUUUUUAGUCUCCUUAUACAAAGUAAGCUGAAGUUUGAAACCUAUUUCUCCUAAGAAGACACUGAAAAAUUGCAAAUAAGUAGACACUGAAAAUUGCAGCCAUGUCAAAGUGUCAUUUCAUUUGGGAGCAGUAACUGUAUGUGCUGUCAUAGGUGCUGUGCUGUCAAAAACUGUAUGUGCAAUCUCUAGAACAAUUAUGCUUAUGUGAAAAUUUUAUGUGAAAUCUCCAAAUGUAUCAUCAUAAUGUAGGUGUUGUGUUGUGUGAUUCUUCAUGCUGAGAACUUCAGCUUUUUCAACUUGCUAGACUAUAUGUUCAUUGGCACUACUUGUGAUGCUGCUGCUGUACUACUUGGGAAUUUUUUCAACUUGUGAUGCUGCUGCUCUACCCAAAGAGGCCCUUGAGUUUGCCGGAAUGUCGAUUAACUUCCGUUCCGGCAAAUUCGGGUACUCCAUAUGUCCUAUUUUCUGCAAAGGUCAUGCUGAAAUUUUUCGUGAAUUUUAGCAUGACUUUGCUAAAAAUAGGACAUAUGGGGUACUUGCGACUAAUGCAUGGGUCGGGGUAUCUUAGUGCUUAAUUAAGUAGGAUCAAUUGCCCCUUUAUUCUUGCUGCAUUAAACACAUAUGAUGAAUUCAUGUGUGGACAGAUGAAAAAGCAACUGCCAUAGGUGGCAAUAGAGCCAAGUGAUUAGGCCCAACUUAGAAAUUCUCCUUCCCUUUUCUUGAUAGGGUAUAUUAUUAGAAGAUACCCAUAUAUAUCAGGCAACCUAGGAUGCCUCGGCAUCGAUAAACCCUAAAUGAUGAAAACUUAACUUAACAUUUAGGGUGCCUCAGCGUCGACAAACCCUAAAUGAUAAAACCUUGGCUUUUAGGGUGCCUCGGUGUCGAUAAGAACCUAAAUGAUGAAAGCUUAGGCUUUUAGGGUGCCUUGGCGUCGACAAACCCUAAAUGAUAAAACCUUAGCUUUUAGGAUGCCUCAGUGUCAACAAACCCUAAAUGAUGAGAUCUUGUUCCUUGACAAUAACCAACUUUUUGACCAAACUUUUUUCCUAUUUAGAGCGAAACAUGGCCCACAACGACGAGGUCGGCAGUUCGGGCGGCAAGGCAUUCUAGGAGCUGUCCCAAGAGAUGGAGGAAGAACCUCACCGCUAUGAGGACACCGCGGAAGACACCGAUCCUGACUACACAACCCCUAGUGGCGUCGGGGAUGACACCACUGAUGGUGCCGCCGAGGAUGCCACCACUGAUGAUGUCAGCGCACGCACAGAUGGCAGCCAACUGAAGAGGCAACGGAAGGACCGGCGCCCGAACAUGCUCCGCACCGUCAAGGAGGAAUUUACUGAAGUGAACUCCGACGGGCAUCCAACGGCGCCCAAAGAAAUAGUCAAGGGGUACUCGGUUCAGCUUGGGUUCAUUCUCCAGAGCACCGUCUCGAUCAACACCGAGAUCCUAAGGCAUAAGGACUGAGGGAAUUUGUGCAACCUCCUCUUAACGAAGCUGCACGAACGAUACAAGUUCCCCGCUGAAUUUGAAAACACAUGUCUCUCAGGGAAUAAAGUGAACAGUGCCGCCCUGACGACGAUGAGCACAGCCCUGUCUACUUGGAGAAGCGCGGUGAAGAGAAUGAUUGACAAAGGUGAUAGUUAUGAGAAGAUCAAGGCGAAAAAUCCUUCGAUCAACGAAGAUGACUACAAGGAGUUCAAGAUCAGGUGCGAGAGCAGCGCAACCUCCGAAUCAAGUCAGUGGGGAAAGAAAAGCGGGAGUUGAACUUAGGGGAACACAAACUCGGUCUCGGGGGUUACAGAGUGGCGGAGCCUAUAUGGGACAAGGAGGACGCGGACCGUGCCGAGCAAGACCUACCGCCCCGCUUCGAGAAGUACCGUGACAAGCAGACCAUGAACUAUGUCAGGGCCCGGUACAAGGAGGACCCGGUAACAAAGGAGCUUACCACGGAUCCGAAGACCAGGGCGCUUGAGCUUGUUCUGGUAAGGAAUACACCCCCGCGUAAUUAGCUCCAUAUGGUCGCAUUCUAAUUAAUGAAGCCAAAUUUCUAAAUGGUUCACAUUUCGUCCGUAGGAGACUGAAAGCAGUAGCCCGAGGUCCUCUUAGAGCACCCCUUGGGACAACACUCUAAAUAGGGCGUUGAACGUAAUGAAAAACAAGGAUAAGCUCAGUAAGCCGUCGUCAGCUGGUCGUGUGGCCGGCAAAGGCUUGUCCACAAAAUGGUCGUCAUACUAUAACGCUGGUGGGCGAAAGGAGAGAAAGACCAACUCGGAAAGCCAGUCGCGCGAGGUUCAAGAACUCAAGGCACAAGUGGCGCGGAUUACGGAGAUUGUCCAAGAGCAAGUGCAACAACAACUGGGAUCGACGCUCACCGCCAUUGUGCCUACCUUGAUUCAGGGGCUGACGACAUGGAUUGCGGGCGGCCAACAGGGGCCGCCCCCGGUUCCCAGCUUCACGGCCAGCAACUCGCACAACACGCAGGCGGCGCCAUUGGUGUCUCCAGCGGAGGCAGUAUUGGUAUCUCCGACGCCGACACGGGUAUUGGAGCUUAAUGCACCCGGGUGUACGCCGGCCGGCACCUUGGCAUCAAGCAACCCCUCCAUCAGUUGCACGCCCGCCGUUGCCGGUGCCUCGACAUUAGCCGAGCUCGACGCCAUCACGGUAACUAAUUAAGCCUCUCGGCUGAUGACUUCAUCUCCUUGCCUUUGACUGGGCAUCCCUAACGUCCUACAUGUUUUCACAGGGCGCCGCCGACGUUCCAUGCACUCUCCUGCACUUCGUGGGCGGCGAGCUGAUCGACGUCGCCAAGGGCAGAAUCAUUCAACCGGGCAACCCCGUGUUCCACGGUAAUCCGAUGCCACCCACUAUGUAUAGGGUUGAACUGUUUCGGGUGCUGCCAGGCUUCAACGAGUUGUUACCUCCGAUUCGACACGCUGGGGCCGACGAAGAUGAUGUGAUGACCCUCAGCGCCUGCGUAAGUUGGCCCCUGCUUUGGCCGAAGAGCCAGAUUUGUUUGGGGGCGAGGGACACCACCCCACAGACAACACCGCCAGUCGUCCCGGCGCCAAGCCAUGGCAAUGCCGCCGCAACACUACCGGAUAUGCCGGACAUCCCUAUGGCACAUGAUCCGAACAUGCAUAUUGUUGGGGAAUGUAGUAAUUUCAAAAUUUUCCUACGCACAUGCAAGAUCAUGGUGAUGCAUAGCAACGAGAGGGGAGAUUGUUGUCCACGUACCCUCAUAGACCAAAAGCGGAAGCGUUAGCACAAUGCGGUUGAUGUAGUCGUACGUCUUCACGAUCCAACCGAUCCAAGUACCGAACGCACGUCACCUCCGAGUUCAGCACACGUUCAGCUCGAUGACGUCCCGCGAACUCCGAUCCAGCAGAGCUUCAUGGGAGAGUUCCGUUAGCAUGAUGGCAUGAUGACGGUGAUGAUGUUGCUACUGACGCAGGGCUUCACCUAAGCACCGCUACGAUAUGACCGAGGUGGAAUAUGGUGGAGGGGGGCACCGCACACGGCUAAGAGACAAUCAACUUGAUCAACUUGUGUGUCUAGAGGUGCCCCCUGCCCCCGUAUAUAAAGGAGCAAGGGGGAGGCCGGCCGACCCUCUAUGGGCGCGCCAGGAGGAGGAGUCCUCCUCCUAGUAGGAGUAGGACUCCCCUUUCCUACUCCUACUAGGAGGAGGAAAGGAAGGAGGAGAAGGAGAAGGAAGGAGAGGGAGGAAAAAGGAGGAAAGGGGGGCCGGCCCCCUAGUCCAAUUCAGUUUGGGCUAGGGGGGUCGCGCGCCCUGCCUCCUCUCUUCCACCACUUGGACCAUGAGGCCCAUUACUUCUUCCUCGUAUUCCCGUAACUCCCCGGUACCCCCGAAAGUACCCGAAUCACUCGGAACCUUUCCAAUGUACGAAUAUAGUCGUCCAAUAUAUCGAUCUUUAUGUCUCGACCAUUUUGAGAUUCCUCGUCAUGUCCCCAAUCUCAUCCGGGACUCCAAACUCCUUCGGUACAUCAAAUCACAUAAACUCAUAUUACAAUCGUCACCAAAACUUUAAGCGUGCGGACCCUCCGGGUUCGAGAACUAUGUAGACAUGACUGAGACACGUCUCUGGCCAAUAACCAAUAGCAGAACCUGGAUGCUCAUAUUGGCACCCACAUAUUCUAUGAAGAUCUUUAUCGUUCAAACCGCAUAAGAACAUACGUUGUUCCUUUUGUCAUCGGUAUGUUACUUGCCCGAGAUUCGAUCGUCGGUAUCUCAAUACCUAGUUCAAUCUCGUUACCGGCAAGUCUCUUUACUCGUUCCGUAAUACAUCAUCCCACAACUAACUCAUUAGUUGCAAUGCUUGCAAGGCUUUAAGUGAUGUGCAUUACCGAGAGGGCCCAGAGAUACCUCUCCGACAAUCGGAGUGACAAAUCCUAAUCUCGAAAUACGCCAACCCAACAAGUACCUUUGGAGACACCUGUAGAGCACCUUUAUAAUCACCCAGUUACGUUGUGACGUUUGGUAGCACACAAAUUGUUCCUCCGGUAAAUGGGAGUUGCAUAAUCUCAUAGUCAUAGGAACAUGUAUAAGUCAUUAAGAAAGCAAUAGCAACAAACUAAACGAUCAAGUGCUAUGCUAACGGAAUGGGUUAAGUCAAUCACAUCAUUCUCCUAAUGAUGUGAUCCCGUUAAUCAAAUGACAACUCAUGUCUAUGGUUAGGAAACAUAACCAUCUUUGAUCAACGAGCUAGUCAACUAGAGGCAUACUAGUGACACUCUGUUUGUCUAUGUAUUCACACAUGUAUUAUGUUUCCGGUUAAUACAAUUCUAGCAUGAAUAAUAAACAUUUAUCAUGAUAUAAGGAAAUAAAUAAUAACUUUAUUAUUGCCUCUAGGGAAUAUUUCCUUCAGUCUCCCACUUGCACUAGAGUCAAUAAUCUAGUUCACAUCGCCAUGUGAUUUAAUACCAAUAGUUCACAUCACCAUGUGAUUAACACCCAUAGUUCACAUCGACAUGUGACCAACACCCAAAGGGUUUACUAGAGUCAAUAAUUGAGUUCACAUCACUAUGUGAUUAACACCCAAAGAGUACUGAGGUGUGAUCAUGUUUUGCUUGUGAGAGAAGUUUAGUUAACGGGUCUGCCACAUUCAGAUCCGUAAGUAUUUUGCAAAUUUCUAUGUCAACAAUGCUCUGCACAGAGCUACUCUAGCUAAUUGAUCCCACUUUUAAUAUUUAUCCAGAUUGAGAUUUAGAGUCAUCUGGAUCAGUGUCAAAAUUUGCAUCGACGUAACCCUUUACGACGAACCUUUUGUCACUUCCAUAAUCGAGAAACAUAUCCUUAUUCCACUAAGGAUAAUUUUGACCAAUGUCCAGUGAUCUACUCCUAGAUCACUAUUGUACUCCUUUGCCAAACUCAGGGCAGGGUAUACAAUAGGUCUGGUACACAGCAUGGCAUACUUUAUAGAACCUAUGGCUGAGGCAUAGGGAAUGACUUUCAUUCUAUCUUCUGCCGUGGUCGGGUUUUGAGUCUUACUCAACUUCACACCUUGUAACACAGGCAAGAACUCCUUCUAUGACUGUUCCAUUUUGAACUACUUCAAAAUCUUGUCAAGCUAUGUACUCAUUGAAAAAACUUAUCAAGCGUCUUGAUCUAUCUCUAUAGAUCUUGAUGCUCAAUAUGUAAGCAGCUUCACCGGGGUCUUUCUUUGAAAAACUCCUUUCAAACACUCCUUUAUGCUUUGCAGAAUAGUUCGACAUUAUUUCCGAUCAACAAUAUGUCAUUCACAUAUACUUAUCAGAAAUGUUGUAGUGCUCCCACUCACUUUCUUGUAAAUACAGGCUUCACCGCAAGUCUGUAUAAAACUAUAUGCUUUGAUCAACUUAUCAAAGCGUAUAUUCCAACUCCGAGAUGCUUGCACCAGUCCAUAGAUGGAUCGCUGGAGCUUGCAUAUUUUGUUAGCGCCUUUAGGAUUGACAAAACCUUCUAGUUGCAUCAUAUACAACUCUUCUUUAAUAAAUCCAUUAAGGAAUGCAGUUUUGUUUAUCCAUUUGCCAGAUUUCAUAAAAUGCGGUAAUUGCUAACAUGAUUCGGACAGACUUAAACAUAGAUACGAGUGAGAAACUCUCAUCGUAGUCAAUACCUUGAACUUGUCGAAAACCUUUUUUCGACAAUUCUAGCUUUGUAGAUAGUGACACUACUAUCAGCGUCCGUCUUCCUCUUGAAGAUCCAUUUAAUAUCAAUGGCUCGCCGAUCAAUGGGCAAGUCAAUCAAAGUCCAUACUUUGUUCUCAUACAUGGAUCUCAUCUCAGAUUUCAUGGCCUCAAGCCAUUUCGUGGAAUCUGGGCUCAUCAUUGCUCCCUCAUAGUUCGUAGGCUCAUCAUGGUCAAGUAACAUGACCUCUAGAACAGGUUUACCUUACCACUCUUGUUGGGGAUAUCACUACUGGGCUUAAACCGACCUAUCUAGGCCGGGUUAACUUCAUUAGUAGUUAAUUAUGUUAAAGCCCAAGAAGGCAGAUGAGGGCUCAAGGCCCAUAGUCAGUUCAAGGCCUGUAGCCGUAAACUGGCGUUGGUAUUUAAAUUGUAUUGUAAGUUAGGAAUAAGUAGAGACCAAACCGGACACAUCUAUGAGCCGGUAUUGGGACUCUGUGAACCGACGGGCGUCACCCAUGUAUAUAAGGGGACGACCCGGUGGCGGUUCAAGGACAGACAACAACUCGAGACUUAGGCGAAGCUUGUUUGCUCCCUAGUCAUCGAAACCCCAUCAAUUCCAUCACAACUAGACGUAGGCUUUUACCUUCAUCGAAGGGGCCGAACUAGUAUAAACUCUCUUGCGUCCCUGUGUCCGCUUUAACCCCUUCAAGCUAACCCGUUGCGAUGGCUCCAUGACUAAGUCCUUUCUCUAGGACAUCUGCCGUGACAAAACCAUGACAACUCUGGUGCGGAUAUCACUCUGGUUUACCUACGAGGUUCGGUAGUAACUUGAUCUGAAGUUACAUGAUCAUCAUCAUUAGCUUCCUCACUAAUUGGUGUAGUAGUCACAGUAACAGAUUUCUGUGAUGAACUACUUUCCAAUAAGGGAGCAGGUACAGUUACCUCAUCAAGUUCUACUUUCCUCCCACUCACUUCUUUCGAGAGAAACUCCUUCUCUAGAAAGGAUCCAUUCUCAGCAAUGAAUAUCUUGCCUUCAGAUCUGUGACAGAAGGUGUACCCAACAUUUUCUUUUGGGUAUCCAAUGAAGACGCACUUCUCCAAUUUGGGUUUGAGCUUAUCAGGUUGAAACUUUUUCACAUAAGCAUUGCAACCUCAAACUUUAAGAAACGACAGCUUAGGUUUCUUGCCAAACCAUAGUUCAUACGGUGUCGUCUCAACGGAUUUAGAUGGUGCCCUAUUUAACAUGAAUGUGGUUGUCUCUAAUGCAUAACCCCAAAACGAUAGCGGUAAAUCAGUAAGAGACGUGAUAGAUCGCACCAUAUCUAAUAAAGCACGGUUACGACGUUCGUACACACCAUUACACUGUGCUGUUCUAGGUGGCGUGAGUAGUGAAACUAUUUCACAUUGUUUUAACUAAAGGCCAAACUCGUAACUCAAAUAUUUUACUUCUGCGAUCAUAUCGUAGAAACUUUUAUUUUGUUACGAUGAUUCUCCACUUCACUCUGAAAUUCUUUGAACUUUUCAAAUGUUUCAGACUUGUGUUUCAUAAAGUAGAUAUACUCAUAUCUGCUCAAAUCAUCUGUGAAGAUCAGAAAAUAAUGAUACCUGCCGCGAGCUUCAAUAUUCAUCGGACCACAUACAUCAGUAUGCAUGAUUUCCAACAAGUCUGUUGCUUGAUGCAUUGUUCCGGAGAACGGAGUCUUAGUCAUCUUGCCCAUGAGGCAUGGUUCGCAAGCAUCAACUGAUUCAUAAUCAAGUGAUUCCAAAAGUCCAUCAGCAUGGAGUUUCUUCAUGCGCUUUAUACCAAUAUAACCUAAAUGGCAGUGCCACAAAUAAGUUGCACUAUCAUUAUUAACUUUGCAUCUUUUGGUUUCAAUAUUAUGAAUAUGUGUAUCACUACGAUCGAGAUCCAACGGACCAUUUUCAUUGGGUGUGUAACCAUAUAAGGUUUUAUUCAUGUAAACAUAACAACAAUUUAUUCUCUUACUUAAAUGAAUAACCGUACUGCAAUAAACAUGAUCAAAUCAUAUUCAUGCUCAACGCAAACACCAAAUAAAACUUAUUUAGGUUCAACACUAAUCCCGAAAGUGUAGGGAGUGUGCGAUGAUGAUCAUAUCAAUCUUGGAACCACUUCCAACACACAUCGUCACUUCACCCUUAACUAGUCUAUGUUCAUUCUGCAACUCCCGUUUCGAGUUACUACUCUUAGCAACUAAACCAGUAUCGAAUACCGAGGGGUUGCUACGAACACUAGUAAAAUACACAUCAAUAAUCUAUAUAUCAAAUAUACCUUUGUUCACUUUGCCAUCCUUCUUAUCCGCCAAAUACUUGGGGCAGUUCCGCGUCCAGUGACCAGUCCCUUUGCAGUAGAAGCACUUAGUCUCAGGCUUAGGACCAGACUUGGGAUUCUUCACUUGAGCAGCAACUUGCUUGACGUUCUUCUUGAAGUUCCCCUUCUUCCCUUUUCCCUUUUCUUGAAACUAGUGGUCUUGUGUACCAUCAACACUUGAUAUCUUGAUUUCUACCUUCGUUGAUUUCAGCAUUACGAAGAGCUUGGGAAUCGUUUCCGUUAUCCCUUGCAUAUCAUAGUUCAUCACGAAGUUCUACUAAUUUGGUGAUGGUGACUAGAGAAUUCUGUCAAUCACUAUCUUAUCUGGAAGAUUAACUCCCACUUGAUUCAAGCGAUUGUAGUACCCAGACAAUCUGAGUACAUGCUCACUGCUUGAGCUAUUCUCCUCCAUCUUUUUAGCUAUAGAACUUGUUGGAGACUUCAUAUCUCUCAACUCAGGUAUUUGCUUGAAAUAUGAACUUCAACUCCUGGAACAUCUCAUAUGGUCCAUGACAUUCAAAACGUCUUUCAAGUUCCGAUUCUAAGCCGUUAAGCAUGGUGCACUAAACUAUCAAGUAGUCAUCAUAUUGAGCUAGCCAAAUGUUCAUAACGUCUACAUCUGCUCCUGCAAUAGGUCUGUCACCUAGCGGUGCAUUAAGGACAUAAUUCUUCUGUGUAGGAAUGAGGAUAAUCCUCAGAUCACGGAUCCAAUCUGCAGCAUUGCUACUAACGUCUUUCAACUUAAUUUUCUCUAGGGAAAUAUCAAAAAUAAAACAGGGGAGCUAAACGCGAGCUAUUGAUCUACAACAUAGAUAUGCUAAUACUACCAGGACUAAGUUCAUGAUAAAUUAAAGUUAAAUUAAUCAUAUUCCUUAAGAACUCCCACUUAGAGAGACAUCCCUCUAAUCUUCUAAGUGAUCACGUGAUCCAUGUCAACUAAACCAUGUCCGAUCAUCACGUGAGAUGGAUUAGUUUCAAUGGUGAACAUUGUUGGGGAACACAGUAAUUUCAAAAAAUAUUCCUACGCACACGCAAGAUCAUGGUGAUGCAUAGCAACGAGAGGGGAGAGUGUUGUCUACGUACCCUCGUAGACCGUCAAUGGAAGCAUUGACACAACAUGGAGGAAGUAGUCAUACGUCUUCCCGAUCUGACCGAUCCAAGUACCGAACAUACGGCACCUCCGAGUUCUGCACACGUUCAACUCGGUGAUGUCCCUCGAGCUCCGAUCCAGCAAAGUGUUGAGUGAGAGUUUCGCCAGCACGAUGGCAUGAUGACGGUGAUGAUGUUCUAUCGACGUAGGGCUUCGCCUAAGCACCGCUACAGUAUGACCGAGGUGGAAUAUGGUGGAAGGGGGCACCACACACGGCUAAGGAACGAUCACAAAGAUCAACUUGUCUGUCAUGGGGUGCCCCCUUGCCCCCGUAUAUAAAGGAGGGAGAGGGAUAGGUGCGGCCGGCCUAAGGGGUGCGCCUGGAGGAGUCCUACUCCCACCGGGAAUAGGACUUCCCCCUCUUGCCUUGUUGGAAAAGGAAGGGGGAAGGGAGAAAGAGGAAAGGGGGGUGCCGCCCCCCCCCCUUCCUUGUCCUAUUCGGACUAGGGGGGGCGUGGCCUGCCCUGGCCGGACCUCCUCUUCUCCCUUAGGGCCCAUGUAGGCCCAAUAACCCUCGGGGGGUUCCGGUAACCCCCCGGUACUCCGGUUAAAUCCCGAUUUCACCCGGAACAUUUCCGAUAUCCAAAAAUAGGCUUCCAAUAUAUCAAUCUUUAUGUCUCAACCAUUUCGAGACUCCUCGUCAUGUAUGUGAUCACAUCCGGGACACCAAACAACCUUCGGUACAUCAAAACACAAAAACCCUAAUUAUGAUCGUCACCGAACUUUAAGCGUGCGGACCCUACGGGUUCGAGAACUAUGUAGACAUGACCGAGACACGUCUCCGGUCAAUAACCAAUAGCGGAACCUGGAUGCUCAUAUUGGCUCCUACAUAUUCUACGAAGAUCUUUAUCGGUCAGACCGCAUAACAAUAUACGUUGUUCCUUUUGUCAUCGGUAUGUUACUUGCCCGAGAUUCGAUCGUCGGUAUCUCAAUACCUAGUUCAAUCUCAUUACUGGCAAGUCUCUUUACUCGUUCCGUAAUACAUCAUCCCGCAACUAACUUAUUAGUUGCAAUGCUUGGAAGGCUUGAGUGAUGUGCAUUACCGAGAGGUCCCAGAGAUACCUCUCCGACAAUCGGAGUGACAAAUCCUAAUCUCGAAAUACGCCAACCCAACAAAUACCUUCGGAGACACCUGUAGAGCACCUUUAUAAUCACCCAGUUACGUUGUGAUUAUUGGUAGCACACAAAGUGUUCCUCCGAUAAACGGGAGUUGUAUAAUCUCAUAGUCAUAGGAACAUAUGUAAGUUAUGAAGAAAGCAAUAGCAACAAACUAAACGAUCAAGUGCUAAGCUAAUGGAAUGGGUUAAGACAAUCACAUCAUUCUCCUAAUGAUGUGAUCCCGUUAACCAAAUAACAACUCAUGUCUAUGGUUAGGAAACAUAACCAUAUUUGAUCAACGAGCUAGUCAAGUAGAGGCAUACUAGUGACACACUAUUUGUCUAUGUAUUCACACAUGUAUUAUGUUUCCGGUUAAUACAAUUCUAGCAUGAAUAAUAAACAUUUAUCAUGAUACAAGGAAAUAAAUAAUAACUUUAUUAUUGCCUCUAGGGCAUAUUUCCUUUAGUCUCCCACUUGCACUAGAGUCAAUAAUCUAGAUUACACAGUAAUGAUUCUAACACCCAUGGAGCCUUGGUGUUGAUCAUGUUUUGCUCGUGGAAGAGGCUUAGUCAGCGGGUCUGCAACAUUCAGAUCCAUAUGUAUCUUGCAAAUUUCUAUGUCUCCCACCUGGACUAAAUCCCGAAUGGAAUUGAAGCGUCUCUUGAUGUGCUUGGUUCUCUUGUGAAAUCAGGAUUCCUUUGCCAAGGCAAUUGCACCAGUAUUGUCACAAAAGAUUUUCAUUGGACCCGAUGCACUAGGUAUGACACCUAGAUUGGAUAUGAACUCCUUCAUCCAGACUCCUUCAUUUGUUGCUUCCAAAGCAGCUAUGUACUCCGCUUCACAUGUAGAUCCCGCCACGACGCUUUGUUUAGAACUGCACCAACUGACAGCUCCACCGUUUAAUGUAAACAUGUAUCUGGUUUGCGAUUUAGAAUCGUCCAGAUCAGUGUCAAAGCUUGCAUCAACGUAACCAUUUACGAUGAGCUCUUUGUCACCUCCAUAUAUGAGAAACUUAUCCUUAGUUCUUUUCAGGUACUUCAGGAUGUUCUUGACCGCUGUCCAGUGAUCCACUCCUGGAUUACUUUGGUACCUCCCUGCUAGACUUAUAGCAAGGCACACAUCAGGUCUGGUACACAACAUUGUAUACCUGAUAGAGCCUAUGGCUGAAGCAUAGGGAACAUCUUUCAUUUUCUCUCUAUCUUCUACAGUGGUCGGACAUUGAGUCUUACUCAACUUCAUACCUUGUAACACAGGCAAGAACCCUUUCUUUGCUUGAUCCAUUUUGAACUUCUUCAAAACUUUGUCAAGGUAUGUGCUUUGUGAAAGUCCAAUUAAGCGUCUUGAUCUAUCUCUAUAGAUCUUAAUGCCCAAUAUGUAAGCAGCUUUACCGAGGUCUUUCAUUGAAAAACUCUUAUUCAAGUAUCCCUUUAUGCUAUCCAGAAAUUCUAUAUUAUUUCCAAUCAAUAAUAUGUCAUCCACAUAUAAUAUCAGAAAUGCUACAGAGCUCCCACUCACUUUCUUGUAAAUACAGGCUUCUCCAAAAGUCUGUAUAAAACCAAAUGCUUUGAUCACACUAUCAAAGUGUUUAUUCCAACUCCGAGAGGCUUGCACCAGUCCAUAAAUGGAUCGCUGGAGCUUGCACACUUUGUUAGCUCCCUUUGGAUCGAUAAAGCCUUCUGGUUGCAUCAUAUACAACUCUUCUUCUAGAAAUCCAUUCCGGAAUGCAGUUUUGACAUCCAUUUGCCAAAUUUCAUAAUCAUAAAAUGCGGCAAUUGCUAACAUGAUUCGGACAGACUUAAGCAUCGCUACGGGUGAGAAGGUCUCAUCGUAGUCAAUCCCUUGAACUUGUCGAAAACCUUUCGCAACAAGUCGGGCUUUGUAGACAGUAACAUUACCGUUAGCGUCAGUUUUCUUCUUGAAGAUCCAUUUAUUCUCAAUUGCUUGCCGAUCAACGGGCAAGUCAACCAAAGUCCACACUUUGUUCUCAUACAUGGAUCCCAUCUCAGAUUUCAUGGCUUCUAGCCAUUUUGUGGAAUCUGGGCUCACCAUCGCUUCUUCAAAGUUCGUAGGUUCAUCAUGAUCUAGUAGCAUGACUUCCAGAACAGGAUUACCAUACCACUCUGGUACGGAUCUUACUCUGGUUGAUCUACGAGGUUCGGUAGUAACUUGAUCUGAAGUUACAUGAUCAUUAUCAUUAACUUCCUCACUAAUUGGUGUAGGUGUCAGAGAAACCGGUUUCUGUGAUGUACUACUUUCCAAUAAGGGAGCAGGUAUAGUUACCUCAUCAAGUUCUACUUUUCUCCCACUCACUUCUUUCGAGAGAAACUCCUUCUCUAGAAAAACUCUGAAUUUAGCAACAAAAGUUUUGCCUUCGGAUCUGUGAUAGAAGGUGUACCCAACAGUCUCCUUUGGGUAUCCUAUGAAGACACAUUUCUCCGAUUUGGGUUCGAGCUUAUCAGGUUGAAGCUUUCUCACAUAAGCAUCGCAGCCCCAAACUUUCAGAAACGACAACUUUGGUUUCUUGCCAAACCACAGUUCAUAAGGCAUCGUCUCAACGGAUUUCGAUGGUGUCCUAUUUAACGUGAAUGCAGCCGUCUCUAAAGCAUAACCCCAAAACGAUAGCGGUAAAUCAGUAAGAGACAUCAUAAAUCGCACCAUAUCUAAUAAAGUACGAUUAUGACGUUCGGACACACCAUUACGCUAUGGUGUUCCGGGUGGCGUGAGUUGCGAAACUAUUCUGCAUUGUUUCAAAUGUAGACCAAACUCGUAACUCAAAUAUUCUCCUUCUACGAUCAUAUCAUAGGAACUUUUAUUUUUGUUACGAUGAUUCUCCACUUCACUCUGAAAUUCUUUGAACUUUUCAAAUGUUUCAGACUUGUAUUUCAUCAAGUAGAUAUACUCAUAUCUGCUCAAAUCAUGUGUGAAGUUUAGAAAAUAAUGAUACCUGCCGGGAGCCUCAAUAUUCAUCGGACCACAUACAUCAGUAUGUAUGAUUUCCAACAAAUUUGUUGCUCACUCCAUUGUUUCGGAGAACGGAGUCUUAGUCAUCUUGCCCAUGAGGCAUGGUUCGCAAGCAUCAACUGAUUCAUAAUCAAGUGAUUCCAAAAGCCCAUCAGCAUGGAUUUUCUUCAUGCGCUUUACACCAAUAUGACCUAAAUGGCAGUGCCACAAAUAAGUUGCACUAUCAUUAUAAAUUUUGCAUCUUUUGGCUUCAAUAUUAUGAAAAUGUGUAUCACCAUGAUCGGGAUCCAACAAACCAUUUUCAUUGGGUCUAUAACCAUAGAAGGUUUUAUUCAUGUAAACAAAACAACAAUUAUUCUCUAACUUACAUGAAUAACCGUAUUGCAAUAAACAUGAUCCAAUCAUAUUCAUGCUCAACGCAAACACUAAAUAACAUUUAUUUUAGGUUUAACACUAAUCCCAAAAGUAUAGGGAGUGUGCGAUGAUGAUCAAAUCAAUCUUGGAACCAUUUCCAAUACACAUCGUCACUUCACCCUUAACUAGUCUCUCUUCAUUCUGCAACUCCCGUUUUGAGUUACUAUUCUUAGCAACUGAACUAGUAUCAAAUACUGAGGGGUUGCUAUAAACACUAGUAAAGUACACAUCAAUAACAUGUAUAUCAAAUAUACCUAUGUUCACUUUGCCAUCCUCCUUAUCCGCCAAUUACUUGGGGUAGUUCCGCUUCCAGUGACCAGUCCCUUUGUAGUAGAAGCACUCAGUUUUAGGCUUAGGUCCAUACUUGGGUUUUUUCACUUGAGCAGCAACUUGCUUGCCGUUCUUCUUGAAGUUCCCCUUUCUUCCCUUUGUCCCUUUACUUGAAACUAGUGGUUUUGUUUACCAUCAACACUUGAUGCUUUUCUUGAUUUCUACCUUCAUCGAUUUCAGCAUCACGAAGAGCUUGGGAAUCGUUUCCAUUAUCCCUUGCAUAUUAUAGUUCAUCACGAAGUUCUACUAACUUGGUGAUGGUGACUAGAGAAUUCUGUCAAUCACUAUUUUAUCUGGAAGAUUAACUCCCACUUGAUUCAAGCAAUUGUAGUACCCAGACAAUCAGAGCACAUGCUCACUGCUUGAGCUAUUCUCCUCCAUCUUUUAGCUAUAGAACUUGUUGGAGACUUCAUAUCUCUCAACUCGGGUAUUUGCUUGAAAUAUUAACUUCAACUCCUGGAACAUCUCAUAUGGUCCAUGACGUUCAAAACGUCUUUGAAGUCCCGAUUCUAAGCCGUUUAAGCAUGGUGCAGUAAACUAUUAAUUAGUCAUCAUAUUGAGCUAGCCAGACAUUCAUAACAUCUGCAUCUGCUCCUGCAAUAGGUUUGUCACCUAGUGGUGCAUCAAGGACAUAAUUCUUCUGUGCAGCAAUGAGGAUAAUCCUCAGAUCACGGAUCCAAUCCGCAUCAUUACUACUAACAUUUUUCAACAUAAUUUUUCUCUAGGAACACAAUAAACUGGGAGCAACAUCGUGAGCUAUUGAUCUACAACAUAGAUAUGCUAAUACUACCAGGACUAAGUUCAUGAUAAAUUAAAGUUCAAUUAAUCAUAUUACUUAAGAACUCCCACUUAGACAGACAUCCCUCUAAUCUUCUAAGUGAUCACGUGAUCCAUGUCAACUAAACCAUGUUCGAUCAUCACGUGAGAUGGAGUAGUUUCAAUGGUGAACAUCACUAUGUUGAUCAUAUCUACUAUAUGAUUCACGCUCGACCUUUCGGUCUCCGUGUUCCGAGGCCAUAUCUGUUAUAUGCUAGGCUUGUCAAGUUUAACCUGAGUAUUCCGCGUGUGCAACUGUUUUGCACCCGUUGUAUUACAACGUAGAGCCUAUCACACCCGAUCAUCACGUGGUGUCUCAGCAUGAAGAACUUUCGCAACGGUGCAUACUCAGGGAGAACACUUGUACCUUGAUAAUUAGUGAGAGAUCAUCUUAUAAAGCUACCGUCGAACUAAGCAAAAUAAGAUGUAUAAAAGAUAAACAUCACAUGCAAUCGAAAUAUGUGACAUGAUAUGGCCACAAUCAUCUUGUGCCUUUGAUCUCCAUCUCCAAAGUAUCGUCAUGAUCUCCAUCGUCACCGGCAUGACACCAUGAUCUCCAUCAUCUUGAUCUAUAUCAAUGUGUCAUCACAUGGUUAUCUCGCCAACAAUUGCUCUUGCAACUAUUGCUAUCGCAUAGCGAUAAAGUAAAGCAAUUAUUUGGUGCUUGCAUCUUAUGCAAUAGAGAGAUAACCAUAAGGCUUUUGCCUGUUGCCGAUAACUUCAACAAAACAUGAUCAUCUCAUACAACAACUUAUAUCUCAUCAUGUUUUAACCAUAUCACAUCACAACAUGCCCUGCAAAAACAAGUUAGACGUCCUCUACUUUGUAGUUGCAAGUUUUACGUGGCUGCUAUGGGCUGAGCAAGAACUGUUCUUACCUACACAUCAAAACCACAACGAUAGUUUGUCAAGUUGGUGCUGUUUUAAACUUCGCAAGGACCGGGCAUAGCCACACCUAGUUCAACUAAAGUUAGAGAAACUGACACCCGCCAGCCACCUGUGUGCAAAGCACGUCGGUAGAACCAGUCUCGCGUAAGCGUACGCGUAAUGUGGUUCGGGCCGCUUCAUCCAACAAUACCGCCGAACCAAAGUGUCACAUGCUGGUAAGCAGUAUGACUUAUAUCGCCUACAACUCACUUGUGUUCUACUCAUGCAUAUGACAUCUACGCAUAAAACCUGGCUCGGAUGCCACUAUUGGGGAACGUAGUAAUUUCAAAAUAAUUCCUACGCACACGCAAGAUCAUGGUGAUGCAUAGCAACAAGAGGGGAGAGUGUUGUCUACGUACCCUCAUAGACCGGCAACGGAAGCGUUGACACAACAUAGAGGAAGUAGUUGUACCUCUUCCCGAUCCGACCGAUCCAAGUACCGAACGUACGUCACCUCCAAGUUCUGUGCAAGUUCAACUCGGUGACGUCCCUCGAGCUCCGAUCCAGCAAAGUGUUGAGGGAGAGUUUCGUCAGCACGACGGCGUGAUGACGGUGAUGAUGUUCUACCGACGCAAGGCUUCGCCUAAGCACCGCUACGAUAUGACCGAAGUGGAAUAUGGUGGAAGGGGGCACCGCACACGGCUAAGGAACAAUCACAAAGAUCAACUUGUGUGUCAUGGGGUGCCCCCUUGCCCCCGUAUAUAAAGAAGGGAGAGGAGGAGGUGCGGCCGGCCCAAGGGGUGCGCCUGGAGGAGUCCUACCCCCACCGGGAGUAGGACUCCCCCCUCUUGCCUUGUUGGAAAAGGAGGGGGGAAGGGAGAAAGAGGAAAGGGGGGCCGCCCCCCCCCCCCCCCUUCCUUGUCCUAUUCGGACUAGGGGGGAGGGGGCGCGCGGCCCGCCCUGGCCGGCCCUCCUCUUCUCCCUUAGGGCCCAUGUAGGCCCAAUAACCCCCCGGGGGGGUUCCGGUAACCCCCCGUUACUCCGGUUAAAUCCCGAUUUCACCCGGAACGUUUCCGAUAUCCAAAUAUAGGCUUCCAAUAUAUCAAUAUUUAUGUCUUGACCAUUUCGAGACACCUCGUCAUGUUUGUGAUCACAUCCGGGACACCGAACAACCUUUUGUACAUAAAAACACAAAAACCCUAAUUAUGAUCGUCACCGAACUUUAAGCGUGCGGACCCUACGGGUUCGAGAACUAUGUAGACAUGACCGAGACAUGUCUCCGGUCAAUAACCAACAGCGGAACCUGGAUGCUCAUAUUGGCUCCUACAUAUUCUACAUAUAUCUUUAUCGGCCAGACCGCAUAACAAUAUACGUUGUUCCUUUUGUCAUCGGUAUGUUACUUGCCCGAGAUUCGAUCGUCGGUAUCUCAAUACCUAGUUCAAUCUCGUUACCGGCAAGUCUCUUUACUCGUUCCGUAAUACAUCAUCCCGCAACUAACUUAUUAGUUGCAAUGCUUGGAAGGCUUGAGUGAUGUGCAUUACCGAGAGGGCCCAGAGAUACCUCUCCAACAAUCGGAGUGACAAAUCCUAAUCUCGAAAUACGCCAACCCAACAAAUACCUUCGGAGACACCUGUAGAGCACCUUUAUAAUCACCCAGUUACGUUGUGAUUAUUGGUAGCACACAAAGUGUUCCUCCGGUAAACGGGAGUUGUAUAAUCUCAUAGUCAUAGGAACAUAUAUAAGUUAUGAAGAAAGUAAUAGCAACAAACUAAACGAUCAAGUGCUAAGCUAAUGGAAUGGGUCAAGUCAAUCAUAUCAUUCUCCUAAUGAUGUGAUCCCGUUAACCAAAUAACAACUCAUGUCUAUGGUUAGGAAACAUAACCAUCUUUGAUCAACGAACUAGUCAAGUAGAGGCAUACUAGUGACACUCUGUUUGUCUAUGUAUUCACACAUGUAUUAUGUUUCCGGUUAAUACAAUUCUAGCAUGAAUAAUAAACAUUUAUCUACAAGGAAACAAAUAAUAACUUUAUUAUUGCCUCUAGGGCAUAUUUCCUUCAAACAUCACUAUGUUGAUCAUAUCUACUAUAUGAUUCAUGCUCGACCUUUCGGUCUCCGUGUUCCGAGGUCAUAUCUGUUAUAUGCUAGGCACGUCAAGUUUAACCUGAGUAUUCCGUGUGUGCAACUGUUUUGCACAUGUUGUAUUUGAACGUAGAGCCUAUCACACCCGAUCAUCACAUGGUGUCUAAGCACGAAGAACUUUCGCAACGGUGCAUACUCAGGGAGAACACUUGUACCUUGAUAAUUAGUGAGAGAUCAUCUUAUAAAGCUACCGUGGAACUAAGCAAAAUAAGAUGUAUAAAAGAUAAACAUCACAGGCAAUCAAAAUAUGUGACAUGAUAUGGCCAUCAUCAUCUUGUGCCUUUGAUCUCCAUCUCCAGAGUAUCGUCAUGAUCUCCAUCGUCACCGGCAUGACACCAUGAUCUCCAUCAUCUUGAUCUAUAUCAAUGUGUUGUCACAUGGUUGUCUCGCCAACAAUUGCUCUUGCAACUAUCGCUAUCGCAUAGCGAUAAAGUAAAGCAAUUAUUUGGUGCUUGCAUCUUAUGCAAUAGAGAGAUAACCAUAAGGCUUUUGCCAGUUGCCGAUAACUUCAACAAAACAUGAUCAUCUCAUACAACAACUUAUAUCUCAUCAUGUCUUGACCAUAUCACGUCACAACAUGCCCUGCAAAAACAAGUUAGACGUCCUCUACUUUGUUGUUGCAAGUUUUAUGUGGCUGCUACGGGCUGAGAAAGAAUCGUUCUUACCUACGCAUCAAAACCACAACGAUAGUUUGUCAAGUUGGUGUUGUUUUAACCUUCGCAAGGACCGGGCGUAGCCACACUCAGUUCAACUAAAGUUGGAGAAACUGACACCCGCCAGCCACCUGUGUGCAAAGCACAUCGGUAGAACCAGUCUAGCGUAAGCGUACGCGUAAUGUCAGUCCGGGCCACUUCAUCCAAUAAUCCGCCGAACCAGUGUGACAUGCUGGUAAGCAGUAUGAGUUAUAUCGCCCACAACUCACUUGUGUUCUACUCGUGCAUAUUAAAUCAAUGCAUAAAACCUAGGCUCGGAUGCCACUGUUGGGGAACGUAGUAAUUUCAAAAAUUUCCUACGCACACGCAAGAUCAUGGUGAUGCAUAGCAACGCGAGGGGACAGUGUUGUCCAUGUACCCUCGUAGACCGAAAGCGAAAGCGUUAGCACAACGUGGUUGAUGUAGUCGUACGUCUUCAUGAUCCGACCGAUCCAAGUACCGAACGCACGACACCUCUGAGUUCAGCACACGUUCAGCUCGAUGACGUCCCGCAAACUCCGAUCCAGCAGAGCUUCACGGGAGAGUUCCGUUAGCACGAUGGCAUGAUGACGGUGAUGAUGUUGCUACCGACGCAGGGCUUCGCCUAAGCACCGCUACGAUAUGACCGAGGUGGAAUAUGGUGGAGGGGGGCACCACACACGGCUAAGAGACGAUCAACUUGAUCAACUUGUGUGUCUAGAGGUGCCCCCUGACCCCGUAUAAAAAGGAGCAAGGGGGGAGGCCGGCCGGCCCUCUAUGGGCGCGCCAGGAGGAGGAGUCCUCCUCCUAGUAGGAGUAGGACUCCUCUUUCCUACUCCUACUAGGAGGAGGAAAGGAAGGAGGAGAAGGAGAAGGAAGGAGAGGGAGGAAAAGGAGGAAAGGGGGGCCGGCCCCCUAGUCCAAUUUGGUUUGGCCUCGGGGGGGGCGCGCCCUGCCUCCUCUCUUCCACCACUUGGCCCAUGAGGCCCAUUACUUCUUCCUCGUAUUCCCAUAACUCCCCGGUACCCCCGAAAAUACCCGAAUCACUCGGAACCUUUCCGAUGUCCGAAUAUAGUCGUCCAAUAUAUCGAUAUUUAUGUCUCGACCAUUUCCAGACUCCUCGUCAUGUCCCCGAUCUCAUCUGGGACUCCAAACUCCUUCGGUACAUCAAAUCACAUAAACUCAUAAUACAAUCGUCACCGAAACUUUAAGCGUGCGGACCCUACAGGUUCGAGAACUAUGUAGACAUGACCAAGACACGUCUCCGGCCAAUAACCAAAUAGCGGAACCUAGAUGCUCAUAUUGGCUCCCACAUAUUCUACGAAGAUCUUUAUCGGUCAAACCGCAUAACAACAUAUGUUGUUCCUUUUAUCAUCGGUAUGUUACUUGCCCGAGAUUCGAUCGUCGGUAUCUCAAUACCUAGUUCAAUCUCGUUACCGGCAAGUCUCUUUACUCUUUCCAUAAUACAUCAUCCCGCAAAUAACUCAUUAGUUGCAAUGCUUGCAAGGCCUUAAGUGAUGUGCAUUACCAAGAGGGCCCAAAGAUACCUCUCCGACAAUCGAAGUGACAAAUCCUAAUCUCGAAAUACGCCAACCCAACAAGUACCUUUGGAGACACCUAUAGAGCACCUUUAUAAUCACCCAGUUACGUUAUGACGUUUGGUAGCACACAAAGUGUUCCUCCGGUAAACGGGAGUUGCAUAAUCUCAUAGUCAUAGGAACAUGUAUAAGUCAUGAAGAAAGCAAUGGCAACAAACUAAAUGAUCAAGUGCUAUGCUAACGGAAUGGUUCAAGUCAAUCACAUCAUUCUCCUAAUGAUGUGAUCCCGUUAAUCAAAUGACAACUCAUGUCUAUGGUUAGGAAACAUGACCAUCUUUGAUCAACGAGCUAGUCAAGUAGAGGCAUACUAGUGACACUCUGUUUGUCUAUGUAUUCACACAUGUAUUAUGUUUCCGGUUAAUACAAUUCUAGCAUGAAUAAUAAACAUUUAUCAUGAUAUAAGGAAAUAAAUAAUAACUUUAUUAUUGCCUCUAGGGCAUAUUUCCUUCACAUAUGGCACAUGAUCCGGACGACAAUGACAACGACGAUGAUACAUUUACCAACGUCGAUAAGUACUUUGCCGAACAUGGGUACGGUGACAAAUUCUUCGGGCCUCCAUCUCAAGAACCCAACCCUGAAAAAGACGACCGCGAUCAUGCUGGUACCACGGAGAAACCAAAUUACAACAGGCGUCGUCUGGCAUUCAGUUCUCAGGAGAUGCCUCCAGCUGCCGCCUUCACCAAGCCUUAGACAGCCGAGGUGCCAAAUAUUAUCAGCCCGAAGACAGUCAAGAAGGCGGUCUGUGAGCAGAACUCGAUCCCAUUACAGCAGAAGAAGGGACAGAAAAGAAAGAGUAACAAGGGUGCCAGCCAGCCGGCACCGAGUACGAUCCGUGCUCAGGACGGUCCACCUUCACCUAAGGAUAUCUCGAGGAGGGUGCAUGUGGCGGGUAGGCCGAUGCUACCGACUAAUCUUCUCAAUGCUGCAACCGGUGCUAUGCGCAGUCUGCAUGACAGUGUUCUUUCUUUGGAGAAGCGGCGUCUCUCCGAGAAUGAUGUGGCACACCCGGUUUUUGUGGCCAAGGUGCCACAGGGCAAGGGCUUUGUGGAUAACGCCAUCGGGGGUAUGAUCGUCCUGCGGUUUGAUGACAUCUUCGCUAUGUUUAACCUUCAUCCGCUGCACUACACCUUCAUUCAGCUAUUUUCGCUGAGUAUGGAGAUGCGGAUCAUUAGAGACAAGACCCCGGACAUCGUGAUAGUCGACCCCUUCUACAUGUGUGUCAAGAUCUUGGGCAGCGCUGGGGACUGGCAAGUCGCGAGUUCUUACCUCGAAGGCAUCAUUCUGGCAAACCCAGAUAAGGUAACUUCCUCGUGCCUUACUUUCCCGAGUAAGUCAUCCCCUCACCGCCCCGUAAUAUAUGAUUUCUUAGAUUUCGAUCGUUCUUUUUUCUCUAACAUUCCAUGUUUUGUGCAGUGACACACAUUGCACACUCAUCCUCUUAAGCCCGGAAUAUUCCAUGGCCACGUAUUUCGACUCGGACCGUCAGACGAAGAAUGACUACACCAAUAUCAAGAAAGUUCUCGAUGAUGUUCUCCCCGGCUACGCCAGAUCUGGUGGCACCUUCACCAGGCCAGUUCGUAGGUACGGCAAGCACGUGUUCGCCCACACUACGAUGUUCCCCUGCGUCAAGCAGCCACCUGGCGGUCAUAAGGAUGCCUACUACGCCCUCUAUCACAUGCGGGCGAUCGUACGGGACCAUAAUCACCUUCUGCUACCAAAUAAUCUCAAAGAUUGGGCCGCAAGAUUGUCGGCAAUCCAGGACGCGGACAUCAGACAAGAAUUCUUUUGCAUCCAGUCGGAGUUUGCAGAAAUCAUCCAUCAAGAUGUCCUUCGUACCUCGGGGCAGUUCUACCUCAGAUAUCAACCGUCCAACAGUGAGAUAGACACAACUCUACAAAUGCAGGCUGACAACGCCCGCGAUUUCAUGACCAUCACGAGAGACGGCGGCUUCAUCCACGCUCCGGUCCCUGAGUCGAGUCGAAAGUAGUGAUGCUAUGUGUAGUUCUGAAACAUCGAUUGGCUCAUGUUGUAAUUAAACUUUAAUGAACUUGUAUGUCUCUUUGGUUUGGACAGUCGUUCAACUUAGAUGUAAUCGAUGCUAUUUAUUAGUAGGACCAUGAAUUGUGCUAUUAAUGUGUUUCUUUUCUCUUCCGAUCCUUUUGUUGCAUACUUAUAUAUUGCUUAUGUAUUGUCUGUGAAUUGCUACUAACGUUUUGUUUGGCUAGUGCAUAGAGAUGCCGUCGUAUGUCGUGUACAAGGGUAAGGUUCUCGGAGUCUACGACGACUGGGAGGAGUGUCGGAGACAGGUUCAUCGUUUCAGCGGUAACAGUUACAAAGGGUACACCACUAGGGCGGAGGCGGAAGUUAGAUACGCGCGCUAUCUAGCGGGAGAGAGGAGGGAGCGGAGGAUGAAGCGGAUGAAGACCAAUUUCAUCGCGAUGAUGCUCAUCAUGAUGACCGCAUCUCUCUUCUAUGUGAUGGUAGUUUAGAUGAUCGAUAUCUAUUUGUAAUGUGAAGACAAACUCGCCACUCGCGGUUUUGAGACUUGUAAUGUUCUAACUUUGUUCAGUAUUUUAAAUUCGGAGACUAAUAUGAUGAAUUGUAUUCGGAGACUAAUCUUCUAUUGCAUUCGAUAAAUCUGCUGGUUAUAUGUUGUGCUCUCUAUAUUCUGUCCAAUAAUAUAUUUUUGUAACCUGUGAAAAUAUCAGAAAAGAAAAAAAAUCCCUAAUAUUCAUACUAGUGGCGCACCACUCAGAACACUAAUGGCACACUGCAAAAAGGACUCUAAUGGCGCAUCAUGCACUAGUGCGCCAUUAGUAUACCAAAGCACAUGGGUAAAUAUGGCCCCCUGCGAGGCAUACUAAUGGCACACCGUGGGCUAUACUAAUGGCGCAGUGCAUGGUGCGCCAUUAGUAUACCAGAUACUAAUGGCGCACCAGUGGUGCGCAAUUAGUAAAAAAUUCUAAUGGCGUGGUGCUAGUGGCGCACCUGUAGUGCGCCAUUAGUAGGCAAAACAGGUGCGCCACUAGUAGGCCUUUUCCUAGUAGUGAGCCAUUCAGGCCGCUGCUAUGGAGGCCAUCCUACACCUCCGAAUCAAGUUCCCGCAUGUGGCAACGAGGCGGGAGUUCUGCUUUUUCCCCAUUGUGGCAGAAGCCGGAAUGCAGCCUUCUCCCGCUAUCCAAGGAGAUGACCCCGCAAUCGCUCACCUGGUGUAGUAUAUCACUGCCCAGGGGAUGAUGAUUUCUAAGAUGUGCUUGCCGAAUUUAGAACCCUGGACAACGAUGCGGUACGAGUUGUCAAGGAAGGUUAUCGUGAGGCUCGUAAAUUCGCAUCUCAAGCCGUUCAUCCCAUGCCAUCCGAACCAGUGCUACCCUCUCAACCUGUGUUAUGGCCCAGGCCAAACAUCAUCACCCUCGACAAGGUUGUUUUCCAAAUCCACCAGCAGCAUUUGCUUGGAUCGAUUUUAGCCACACCUCCAGUAGUCGAACCCCAACCCAUAGUGCUGUCAGAUGAUGAAGAUGGAGAUUGGCUUAGUCUUCGUCCUCCCGGAGAGCCCCAGCAAGGCCAGUCCUCUGCAUGACCUCAGUCGCACAGUGAGAUGAAUCGGCGAGUAGGUCAGUCAGUCUGUUCAUCCUCGAUAGGAGGAUAGAACUAUGUAUCCCUGAGUGAGUAGUUUCAUUUAGUGCGUAGAGCGUUCGUGCUUCGUUGUAUGCUUGCACUGUUGUAAUCCGUAUGAUGUGUUCUAUGUUUGUUUUCGUGCUUGUUUUUGUUUGUCUAUGUGUCAAGCAGAGAUGUUUGACAGGGUUGGCAAUGUGUGCUAACAAGAUUUUAAUUAGUACGACGCAUACACUAAAAACAACAUUGACUCGUCCCGAGUCUCUAAUAAAAUGCGCGCUGGUGUAGGUAUAUGUAUGCCAGGAUUACAUAUACCCACUAGCAUUAAAACACCUUAGAAUGAUUUGUCUGGUGUUUUUUUCUGUUGCAUGUUUGUUGCAUCUGUCUAUUUGCUAGUUUAGAUUAUACUACAUACUGCACGCAUAACCAAUUCACCCACGAGUAUGUUCGGGCAGUACUCGGGGGAAUGCAAAGUCACAUAUCCCUCUCUAUCUGUGCAUACCCCGUGUGCCGGAUUUCAAAACCCAGAGCUUCGCAGAGGCAUUUCCGUCUGGUAGUUCCUCGUCUCCAAUUUUUUCCCCAAUUUCAUUUCCAGAGGAUCACUGCCAAUUUUAUUUCAUUUGAUACAUCUACCACAAUAUAGACUUCAACUCCGAUUCUACCUCUACAUCUACUUUUUUGUGGAGCAAUCCGCGAAAUUUUCCCGUACCCUAGCGUGAUUCCUGAGCUGGCGCAGCCACCUCACCUGCAUCUCGACCCCACCACCACCACCGUCACUGCAUUACGUGGCGUAGACGAGUCGCCAUCACCGUUCCACCGCAGCACGCAAUUACUCUGCCGACGCAAAGCGAUGGAGGAUCAAGCGUGGCGGAGGAUCACGCAGUGCACCGUCUUCUCCCGCAUCUCGAGCCACCACACCUAGCCGCACAUUGUCCCGAAACCGAUCAUUCCUGAUGAGGAUCAGCAGGAGAAACCAUUGUUCAUUGGGGUGCAUCCAGCAUUUUUUUUGGGAGUCUGAUCUCGAGUGCCCCUAGCCGUGGAUUUAACCCUGUUUUGCCCUUAUCUUCCUCGGGUGCACCAAUUAUCGGUGCCCCAACUCGUUCGAAUCUGACCAAAGGGUUAAAAUUAACCUAGAGGUUUUCCCCAAAGUUGUUAUCCUUUCAUUUGUGCUGUAAUCCUAGGAAUCUCGAGGACGAGAUUCUUUUUAAGGGGGGAAGGUUUGUAAUAGCCCCAAAAUUGGCUUAUCAAUUUUUGAGCUAUUAUUUCUUCCUGACACUCAUUUUUUUAAAUCUUUCUCCUGAGUUUAUUAGAUGACUCUGAGAAUUCCUGACAUUUCCAAACUUUCAAAACCUUGCUCAUGUCUUUGUCAGUGGGCAAGACCUCUUUUGCAUCAUCUCAGAUCCUCUCAAACCCUAAUUCCAAUUUUUUGGAAUUUGAAUGUGGCCUUUGUGAUUACAAAGGAGCUAUCAUUUUCCUUGAUCUGUUGAUCAUCCCCUCUGUUCCCAGAGACCCUUCUACCUUCCUGAACCCUGGAUAUGCAAAACUAUUGCUAAGUCCUAUGCAAUAUUUUUGAAUUAUGAUUUAUUCCUUUUCUUGCCUUUCCGAGGAAUAAAAUCCAAAGGCAUAGCUAGCCAUCUCCUAAAUUCAUGAGAAUUGGUGGAGUUGAUAUUUAUGCCUAAUCUAAGCCCUGGCAAACAUAUUGGCCAUAAUUAAAUAAGGAAAAUUGACUUUCCUAUUUUAAUCCAAUAUUGCAUUUCUGUCAUUUUCCAAAGGAGCUACUAUUUUUAUAGCAGAGAAAAUUCCCACAUAAAUUGUGGAGCUUUUCCUUGCUAUAUAAUCACUGUUUCCAUCCUUAUCCCAUGUUCCUCAAAUCAAAAAUUGGGCACAUGAUCCAAUGCAAGUUUCUGCCCUCUUUGAAAUUUUUGCAAAGGAAGUGCUUUAUUACUAAUUCAAAUUGAGCUACAAUUUGCAGGAUGACUAACCAUGAUAAAUCACCAAUGGAUACAAAAUAUGAGCUCAAUCCAUUCAUCCUAGCUCCCUGUGCAAUUUUUCAAAGUUUCUGACCAGAUGGCAUGCUUGUGAACGAAGUACCUUCAUAGAGUUUCCAAAUGGGAUGAAACAUUUCCAUCCUCUCACGUAUCUCAAAUCAUUAGCCUCCACCUAAAUUCAGUCCAUUCCAUUGAACUAGGCGAGCACAGGAGCAAUUCUUUGAAUCUGUCCAAAUUUUUAGUUUGUGAAGCAAGUAUAUUUUAUCUUGAUCCAUUAUGCCUGAAAAUAUUCGUAAGCCUUCCCCUAUCCAUAUAACCUAUCUCCAACAAAUUUUGGCUCAUUUCAUGUAGCCAAUAUUGUCCUGGAUUUUCCAAAGUUUCUGGUCAGAUGUGAUGCUUGUGAACUAAGUACCAAUUUGGCAAGUCCAUUUGGUAUGAUCUUUUUGAAGCAACUAAACAUGAUCAAAUCAUGGGGAUUUGCCAAGUUUUAGAUAAAUCCGACACUCCUAGUGAGUGCUUCUUCCUCAUUUGUUUUCUGGACCAGAUUUGGCAGUUGCACUGCAACUAUGCUAAAUACUUGUCCAAAUGCCCUCAUAAUUCCCAGGACCGUAGUUCUUCCUACCCUAAACCUCCCAGACAUCAAGUUUAUCCCUUAAGAUCACUAUGUUGAUCACCAACAUGUGGCCAAGUUUGCAACAACAAACUUGUCGAGCUUGGUUCCCUCUGUUCCCUUCACUUCUGCCCGAGCCAUCACCUCUUCUUUAAUGAUCCUUGGAAGGAAUCCAAUGUUGAUAUGGUUUGGCACCAGGUAGACGACCAGAGCACGCGAUGUCGGUGGUGACCACGGGGCUAUGCAGUCCAAAUUGGUAGUCUAGCCACUAUUCUCGUCAGCACCCUUGCUCCGGCCGGUUCUGGUUUGUCCAAUCAUGUCACACAGCUUAGCCUCAUCGUCGCCGUGUGCCUAGAGCUCUUCCCCCCUUCGUUUGCAUCCUCGUUGAGCCGUCGUCGUCGCCGCACAGUUCCUGUCCAUGAGUUGGUCGCCUUCCUCACUCUUUUCCCUUUCCCCUCUCGCCCGCGAUCGUCCCUCGUCUCCGUGACCUCUUGGAACUCGUCCGCGCCCCCCUCAUCGCCUUGUCUCCCCUCCCCGUGACCCUUGGCCGCGUGUGAGCGUCUCCGGCGCUCAGACAUGUAGCUGUGCCGCGUGUCACCUCGCCCCCUCCCUCUCGAGCUCUUCCCGUGGCUAUUUAAGCAUGCCUCGAGCUCUCUCAUAGCUCACAACCCCUCACAAGCCUCUUCCCCGAGCUCUCGAGCCUCUCUGACCCCUCCCCAUCACCAUGGCUGCAGCCUUGGUUCUUCUUCGAUUCCGGCGAUGCCGCGCCCCCUCUCCAUUCCCUCACCACCGCUGCCCUCCCCAGGGUCCGGAGAGUCUUCCGUUGCCUCGCCCACCCAUUUGUACCACCGUAGCACCAAGUUCACCGACGGCCGAAGCCUAGCUCCAUUGCGGACGCUGCUGCGGCCUUCCCAAAGCUCCUCGGUGGUAGCUCUCGCCGCCAUCCGAUCCACCAUCUUCCCCUGAACAUCUGGGUAGGUCGCCCGUCCUCUGUUGUGGCCGGACGCGCCGGCGAUCGCCGUCGGGGUGGCCUCCUCUAUCGGCCUAGAGUGCGCCCGAGCACGGGGUAGAAGAAGGCCAGGACAGGCGGGGCCCUCCCCACGGACCCCACCUGGCAGCCACUCAAGGCUGGCCCCGCUCCGCCACGUCAGAUUAGUGGAGACGUACUCCACAGAGUACGCUUUCCCUUCUCAAAAACGCCUUUCGUCUCUUCUUCAGGUCAGAAUACGUUUUCCUCUCAAGAAAGUGUAUUUCCUUUGUACUUCGGCUCAAAAUACGUUUCUCUCUGCAGAAAACGUAUUCAGCCCAAAGGCGCAUUCAGUUUUUCCUCCAGGGGCCUGUUUGCCGAAAAAAUUUCACCGAUAGGUCCCUGAGCUUCAACCAUGCGUAUCUCGACAACCGUAACUCUGAUUGAGGUGAAACCAACGCUCACGUCUUCGUCUCGUCGAACUCUUUCCGUUGGUAUCAUUUUCAUUAUGUUUUCAAACGGUGAAAAUGAACACUUUGCCCUUGCACGUAAACAGCCCCCUCCAAGAGAGAACUGUUUUCUACAACUCUUUCCGGGAUCGUUUCGUACUACUUCUCAAAGUAUUCGUCGACCCCAAGCAAGCCAAUCUCUUAUCAUGAGCCCCGAACUUGCAUGUUGACUUUGCUUGCACCUCAUGGGUGUGUUUAGUUACAUUAGUUUCUUGUUUGUUCCGUCUGCUGUUAUGUUCAUUCGUGCUAUAUAUUUUUGUUAUCUGUCUUGCAUGCUUAUGCUUUCAUGAAAUAAGUUGAGAUGCUAGUUUACUGUUGUUACGAAUAAUAUCAUGCCUAUGUCUAGUUUAGUUUCAUGUUAGUAGUAUCGAUGUUAUGAUAAUUCUGUUGCACUGGUAAGUUUGCUAGUACUUGGGAUUGCCAUGUUUCGCAUGCUAUCAUUGUUCUUUUGAAAUGCUUGAUGUUUCAUUACUGCAUCGGUAUGUUUCAUGUUAGUUGUUGCAUUCAUGUUAAUAAUGCUUGCAUGCUGAUUGAUGACGAAAAGUUAAUAAUAUGACUUAAUAACAAGCCUCCUCCGUCAUCACUGGGAUAUCAUAGUGCCACCAAAUUGAGCUUUCUCCAGUGCAACCACAUUUACCUCAUGGGGAGGUCCUAGCUGGGUUUAUUGUCAUGCCUCUUGCCGGUGCCUCCCGCGAGGGAAGGUUAUGGGCACGCGCUACCUUGAUCAGCUAGGCGGACAUAACCUUGUGUGCUCGUUUUUGUUUUUAUGGUACCUUGUCCCUGUUUGGGACCGUUUUGCCACGACGGUGGCCGUUGGUGUCUUUGGUAGACACGGGGCCACCCAAGACUGAACCCAAGGGGGUGUUGGUCGGAGUGGCCGGGAGAGUGUCAUGGUAGUAGGUCAGUUUUGUCGGAACGCCGUGGUCCGCAUGUAUGGGAGUGCGAGGCCAGGGUUCUGUGGUGUGGGUAAAGUGCACUACCUCUGCAGAGUGUAUUCAAUCUAUCGAUAGCCGCGUCCUCGAUCAUGGGAAAAAGUUCAUAGCAGGUCACAUUAUUGAAUCUUGGUCGAAAUGGAGGAUAAACAUGCUAAUAACUUGUGUGAUAAUUAAAAUGUGAUAAGUCAUGUGAUGACUUGGACUGUGGGAUAAUCGUGAGAAGUCACGAUGAUGUGUUGAUAUGACCCCGAGACGAGGUCUUAGUAAGUCAUGCGUGUGCUCCAAGGAGCCGUGGCAAAGUAAGUGAUUGUUGCAUAAGGUCAAUACAUCAUGUCUUCACGGAAGGUAACUGGUAGUUUAUUUCCAGCAUAGUUUCGUGAU
rnacentral:lncRNA from 1 species